GAAGCUUUUGCUUGAACCAACGCAUGAAACAUGAGUUGUGCUCUUUGAGUAUAUCUCCGUCCGUCCUCUGUUGGCCUCAGUCAUUGUACGUCUUCUUAAUAAAGGUUUUGUGCUCUACCACCCAAGGAUCGACCACGUCUAUGUGUUGUAGCGCGACUAGGUUUGCUCUUUCAAAGUCGGCGAGUCGACCCUCGAAGUCGACAUGCAUUUCGCGACGACCCUCACGGUGACCCCAUCCAGCGAGCCUGCCGAGGUGCCUGUUGAUGGGCAGACCAACGGGGUUCUCGAUGCCUAGAUAAUUCGUGCAGUAGGAGAUGCACUCUUCAGUCAGAAAGCCCCUGGCUAUGCUUCCCUCUGGACGUGACAUGUUGCGAACGUAUCCUUUGAUGACACCAUUCAUCCUUUCGAACGGCAUCAUGCUAUGCAGGAACGUCGGCCCGAGUUGGAUGAUAUCGUCCAUGAUAUGGACCAGCAAAUGCACCAUAACGUCGAAGAAUGCGGGCGAGAAAUACAUCUCAAGCUCGCAUAGUAUCACCACGAUCUCUUCCUGUAGCCUUCUGAGUUGCCUCACGCCAACAGACUUCCGAGAGAUGACGUCGAAAAAGUUGCAUAGGCCAAAUAGGGUUUCACGGACGUGCGCGUCCAUGAUCCCACGGAUUGCAACUGGAAGUAUCUGCGUCAUCAGCACAUGACAGUCGUGAGACUUCAUCCCACAGAACUUCUGCUUCGCUGGGUCUAGGUAUCUGCUUAUCUUCCCCGCGUAACCGUAAGGAAGUUUUACUCCUACGAGGCAGGUGAAAAACUGCUCGAUCUCCUCCUAACUUAGAGUGAAGCACGCGGGAGGGUAGUCAUUUCCGGUCUUCUUGGCCUUUUUGCCUUUGCGACGACUUUCCGUGUCCUGCUUCGCCUCAUCAUCAUCAUCAUCAUCAUCAUCAUCAUCAUCAUCAUCAUCAUCAUCAUCAUCAUCAUCAUCAUCAUCAUAUAUAGCGUGAAGCUCCUGCCUGAUGCCCAUUGAUUUCAAGUCUGCCCUUGCUUUUGGACCAUCUUUGGCCCUCUCUGGCAUGUUGACCAGGGUACCAAGCAGACUCUCGCACACGUUCUUCGUGAUAUGCAUGACAUCAAGGCUGUGAGGCACACGGUGGAUCUUCCAGUACGGCAAGUCCCAGAAAACAGACCUUGUUUUCCAUACCUUCACCAGCGGCUCUGGCGCCUUUCGCUUCUUUCCCGGCUCUGGCGCCUUUUGCUUCUUUCCCGGCAGUGGGCAGUCUUUCCAAUUUUUCAACAGCUCGUCUAUUUCCUCACCGCUCCUCGUACGCGGGCGUCCUCGGGGUUCGGUUUCACCAUCGAAUAGAUCCUUGCGUUUUCUCCACGGGUCAUCGUCGUGAAGCCACCUUCGAUGUCCCAUGAACACGGUUUUCGAAGACCCGGGAUCUCUAUCUAGCUGGCGAUAUGUUGUGUCAUCCAUGCACCUGACGCAUCCAGAAAAUCCAUGGACCACCUGCCCCGUGACAUAUCCGUAACCGAGAUAGUCGUGCACCGUCGUGAGCAGCGCGGCUCUCAUAGGGAAAUAUUCUUUCUCUGCGGCGUCCCACGUAUUGGCUGGCGUUUUCCACAGCGUGUCAAGCUCCUCUUUCAGCAGCCCCAGAUACAGAUUGAUGUCGUUCCCUGGUUGUUUCGGUCCUUCAAUUAGCGUACUCAUGUGAAUGUACUUCCUCUUCAUGCACAACCAGGGGGGAAGGUUGUACAUCCACACAAACACAGGCCAGGUGCUAUGUGUGCUUCUCUGGCUGCCAAACGGAUUGACUCCAUCGGUGCUCGCGCCUAGCACGAUGUUCCUUGGAUCGUUCCCAAAUUCUAGGUCUUCGAAGUUCAACGCUUGCCACUGGCUCGCAUCCUUAGGGUGACUCAGCAUCUUGUCUUUUUUAUCUAUCUCCGGAUCAUUUGCGUCAUCUUCUCGCUUCUUCUCCUCCCUAUCCGCGUGCCAACGUAGGAGCUUUGCUACCUUAGGGUCCGCGAAAUACCGCUGCAGACGAGGAGUGAUCGGAAAGUACCACACCACUUUUCGAGGAGCUUUCUUCCUCUUCUUGUAUCGAGUGACGCCGCACACCAGACAUAUGGUAGACUCCGCGUGCUCGUCCUGAUAAAUGAUGCAAUUGUUCAUGCACACAUGGUAUUUCACGUGCGGUAAAUCCAGAGGACACACGAUUUUCUUCGCCUCCUCCAAACUGGUCGGGCACUUGUUCCCCUUGGGAAGACGUUCGUGCCAGAAUGACAUGUUCUCGUCGAAGCAUGCGUUGGUCAUUUUGUGUUUUACCUGCAUCUCCAGAGCCAUGAGCGUUACUUUCAGGCGGGUAUCCUCGGGCCUGCAUCCUUCAUACAAUGGAGUAACCGCGUCUAACUCAACUUGAUCCAUCUUGGCUUUCUCUCAGGCGGCAGCUCUUGCGUUAUCCGUCUGCUUGAGAAGCAGCUCUUGAAUAUGAGGGUCCUGCACCCAGCCCAUCGAUGGUCCAGCGUCGUCUGCUCCGCCGGCAUCAUCAUCUUCAUGAUCAUGCCCGUCGUCUGCUCUGGCAUCUUCCUCAUCAUCAUGUCCUGCAUCUUCUACAUGAUGACUGUGUACAGCAUCACCGUCGUGAUCAUCUCCUGGGGAUUCUUCGUCUUCUCGCCCGCCCGAGCCGCGGUGGUUGUCUUGCUGCCCUUCCUCAUUUCUUGCCCGGCCCCCAUGGACGACUUCGUAGUCAUCUUCAUCACCUUGCCACCGAUAGCCAUCCAUGAAACCACGCAAGAGCAGGUGGUCCCGCACCUACCCGGAUUCCGGGUCCGCAAUAAGGCUCUUCAGCUUGCAUCUUCGACACGGACAUCUUAUCUCCGUCUCGUUCUUUUGAAGCAUCUCGGCCUUCACGGACCUCAAAAACCUAUUCACGAUGCCUUCGGUCAUCAUGCGGACCAUGGUCACCUGCGGGGUAGAGCAAAACGAUAUUUUAGAACCAAGAAAAAAUUUGGCAUGACUUUCCCUAAAAAUAGGACCAAAAAGAAUGCUUAAUGCCAAAAUUCUCGCCGAAACGGAAAUGAAUCAACAUUUCGGCAAAAUAUUGGCAACUAUCGCAUUUCAAAUACCGGUACACCUCCAAACACAAACACAUAUGCAACAUCACAAACAUAUGCAACACCACGAGCAUACAUAGAUCUAGCUAGGCCAUAAAAAGUGCAUGUGCACAUUGUUGUAGGGAGAACAACAUAAAUAUAGCUUCCCCCUUACUUACCUAUCAAAACAAGGUAAUUUAACCACUUAAAUUGAAUGAAUCUAUGGUGGAAAUGAGGUGAAAAAGAGGAGGCACCCGAGACAAGGAGGAGGUGGAGAGAAUGAAGUGGGGAGAAAGUGAGUGUGGGUAGGAGAGGCUGUCCAAAAUAUCUUGUUGCUGCCCACUUACUAAUGGCGCACCAACUCUAAAUGCGCCAUUAGUAAUCCAGGUUACUAGUGGUGCACCUUCUGGUGGUGCGCCAUUAGUAGUUUUGCAAAAAAAACAUACUAAUGGCGCACUGUCCCACAGUGCGCCACUAGUAAUGGCGCACGGUGGAACAGUGCGCCAUUAGUAGUUUUGCAAAAAAGGAAAUAAAAAAUAUAAUAGAAAAAACAACAUUAGUGGCGCACUUUCCGGCAGGUGCGCCAUUACUAGUUACAACUAGUAAUGGUGUACUGUGUCUGGAUGCGCCAUUAGUAUGUUUGGAUAGGCGCACUAGUUAAUUUUUUUUUGAUACUAAUGGCGCACCCUGUGCCAGGUGCGCCAUUAGUAGUUUCAACUCUAAUAGCGUAUCAGAAGGUGGUGCGCCAUUAGUAUAUACUAAUGGCGCACCGCUUGUCUGGUGCGCCAUUAGUGUCAAUCCCAUCUAUAGCCCUUUUUCUAGUAGUGUAACAACGUAAUCCUCGGCAAUGACAUGUUUCAAAGAGUAUUUAAGUAAAUAAACCUCCUUAUCUGGAAUAGAAUGGUUGUUUGAUGCUUGCAAAACUGCACUAUUUUGAACCGCUAGGCUUGUUUUGUAAAUUAUUGGGUCGUUUUUUAACUAGUCGGAGUCCAUCAGCCGAAGGAGCAAGCAUUCUCUAUAGAUAGCAUAACAAACUAUUAGUUGAGACCAUAAUUUUUGAGUGAAAUUUGAGGAAUUUUUUUGUGUACUUCGACAAGAUACAUACUUUUACGAUCGAGUUAUGUCCAUCAACCAAAGGUUCAAGCCCAAUUGUAGCCAUUGGAUCCGAAAUUUCCUAUCAUAGAAAUACAGAAAGGUUUGUUCAAAAAAUAGAUGAAGGUACUAAACUUACCAUCUUCAUUUUCAUCUGCAUUAGCAUCAUCACAAUCUGUGAAGCCGUCUUCAUCAUUAGUAAUUUCUAGUAAUCUUACAGUGAAUUUUUUAUAUUAUUUACAGUGUCACAAUAAAUGUAACUGUACUGCAGCUACAGUAAUUCUGAAGUUCAGUCCUAAAUGGUUUAUUUUUCCUAGUGUUUUCAGCUGAAUUUUGUUUGCUGCUCCCAGUAGGUACUAAACUAGGUAUGCGUGCAGUGUAUUCUACCACAAAGCCUUUUGUAAUUGUAAACCCUAGCAUGCGAGCUUGUUUGCUGCACCGAGGUUUUUACUAAAUGCAUCUACUAUAUGAUUUUUCAGUGUGAAAGAAAUGUAAUUGUACUGCAAAGUUGUAAUAUAUUUUGAGCCUAGAACCAUUAGGCUCGUAGUUGUUCUGUUGCUCCCUAAAGUAAUGUUGUUUUGUUUACCGUGCAUCUAUUGUAUAUUUUACAAUGUAGCAAGGACUACUCUCCUACAUAGUUAUAGAAAACUUGAAUCAUAGCAUCCAAGUGUGUUUUGCUGCUCCGAGUCUGAUACUAAAGUAUUGUUUAUAACAAUGCCAAUUUGAUUCAUUUUUACAGUGUGCUUUUACUAAGAUUCGCUGUUAUUUGGUCACAGCAAUUGGUGGUGGUUUCAAGUUUACAAUGACAUUGAUCUAAUCAGAUAUAUGUUUCAUGUUUCUUGUUUUUUGUUUGUCAUCAGACUGUGAAGCAACUCAAUGGGGAAAGAACAGCGGGGCUGGUAGAAAAAACUGACAUGGACAUACAGAUGACAAGUACAAAGAGGGACAAAUUGUUAGGCUCCAAUUGGCCAAAAUAUCUGACUGAAAUGGUUUUCAGUCGACUGACGAAACUUUUGCAACGAGUGAACAAAAUAUAUGAGUCAAUUUCAGAUUAAACUAGAAUCGUGAUCUCUCUGUAUAUCGAUUGGUGGUUGAAAAAAACAGCUUAGAACCAAUAUGUAGGGCAUGAAUUGCAGCAAUGAGAUGGGAUAAGGAGCAGGGCACUUACUAGAUGAAUUUGCAGGAUUGUUGCCACCACGUACCAGUCGGAUUUGGAGAAUCUAUAUCAGCUGGGUUUUCCUGACAAGAGAGAUGUGAAUUGAUUUAGAGCAUAGAUCGGUAGAGCAGGGAGGAAGAGAGGAUGAAUUGGGGGAGGGUCGGCAACUAACCUUGCUCAGGUCGUGGAGAUGCCUCCGCCACCGGCCGCCGGGCGUGCGGAUGAAUCCAGUACGAGACGACGAAGGGGACCGUUCUGAUUUGGGGGGAGGUUUCCGAUUUUAUUUGCGCAGUUAGCUCAUCACGAUCUGUUUGACCGAUGUUUAGUCUCUGUUCUGAAUUCCAAUGACAGGUGGGGCCAUGGUAAUGAAGCGCACGUACUUGGUCAGAUUAGUCGCUGUUGGCGGGAGAGAACGGAGGGAAAAGGAAAAAAUUGGAGCGAAACCAAAAAAGAAAUAGAAGUGAGUCGAGCGAAACAAAUUAUGAAUUUUGUUAUUAAUCAUCUGGCCCGUGAUAGGCACUUGUACAUAUAUUUGUGCUAAACAGAACGUGCUUCUUCUAUGUUUGUAGAAAUUCAGUGCUUCUUCUAUGUUUGAAAAAAUUCAGUGCAAUAUGGGUGAAGCAAAAAUGAAUUCUGUUGCUCAAACAAUAGAAAAAAUUCAUCCAAAACACAAAAAAAACUCUUAGCUUACAUGUUCGGACCUACAUGUAUAAGUAUAAUUGUCAUCCAGGAUCACUAGUUUUCAUGGACGUAGUAUUAAUUUAGAGUUUCAUGACAUACAGUGCAACCACGGCGUCCCGAUCGGGCGCCGCAUGAAGGUGGAGCCCCUCGCCACCACACAACCAUUACACCGGAUUGACGGGAUGGCGUCGCCGUAACGUCGCAACUAGUGCGACAAGUCCGUCAAGGAAGACGUGCCACAUGCAACCGCGAAGGCGCACUUCCAUCGCCUCCACUACCUCGGAAGCCGUGAUGGUGCCGACUCCUCGUCGCGGGCCAUCAGGUCCACCGAGGAGAGGGCAGUGAGAUAGGCGACACAUCAGGCGUGGUGCAACGCAGCGCGCCACUCCGCAUUCGCCAAGUUCGACGAGGCACCGGCCUGGGUCCUCGGGGACCCUGACCUAGUGGAGGCCUGGACCCAUGACCGGUCCGUCACCACAACGAGAAUGGUCGCACAGUGACGCACGACACCUCAAUGGGAGGCUCAUCAGGAUCGACAAGGUGGGGACGCUAAGAGGCACCUCCAUUGCUGCAGGCAGGGGCAAGGCUGCUGCCAGGGCACCGUUGCCGAGGUAGGCAUUGGCCGCAAAGGCCCUCCGCACGGCACAGGAGGAAGCGGAACAGUUCCUCCACGAGCUCCAGGUGGCACCCAAUCAGGGCUGUCGUGCCUUGGUGCCCUUCCUUCACUGGAAGGACGACUCGUGCUACGACGACAACAUGGAUGACAACGAUGACAUUGCGUCCGGCUAGGGCGGCUAGGUAUACAAGGUCACCGUCCGCUACAAGUUAGCCAUGUUUCUUUAGGUUUUAGUUCAACGGAUGAAAUAUCGUCUGUUUUGUGUAAAUUAUGUACAAACUUUAUAAAUUCCCUCGUGUUUGGUGAAAUUCGUCUGGUUGAUUCUAAAUUGUUUUGAAAUGGAUGCGAGCAUGGUUGUAUGGCCGGCUACCGCAUCACUGUCUACGGACCAGUUCGAACCAGUCCACGGACAAACGGUGUGUCCGUUUUUGCGUCAGCCCCAACACGGACCCACAAAAUGUCUGCAAACAUCCGGAUCUACGUUCCUGAUGCAGUUUGCCUUCCAACAUGGUACCCCAUCAGUCCAUGGACCGGUCUAGUUUUUCCGAAAUCCCGCAAACUGGCUGCAAACCAGGGACCACCAAAAACAUCUCCCACGCAAGUGCCUCUCCCACGCGAACGCUCCUUUGCUCUUUGUGCCAAAUUGAUGCCGACCAGAGCGGACGCGAGCUGUCACUAGAGCCGGCAGUGAAGCGGCAGGUCAGCCGAGAGCAACGCCCGCGCCGCGUUCGAGUCUCCAUGCCUGUUACAUGCUGGAGAGAUAUGACUUGACGCGAUGGCUUGGGUCAUUUACAAGUCGAACACCACGAUAGAGACGAGAAAGCGUUGUCUCUGCCUUCUUGACGAGGAGAUGCUGAAGUACCGCAAAUAGUGGUCUCUAAGCGAGACAACGACGCUGCCACCUCCGGUAUGUCCCCUCGCUCAUCUGUCCCCUCGCCCAUCCGCAGUGUCCUUGGCCGCACUGUGCGCGGCGCAGGAGCAAGCGAACAAGAUCAUCCGUGAGUCCGCGGCCGCAUUGCGCGUGGCGCAGGAGCAAGCGAACAAGAUCAUCCAUGAGCGCUAGACGGCAGUCGGGAAGCACUGCCGUGACCCCGCGCCCUUCCGCGGUUGGAAGCCGACAACGGUGAUGGAGGUGUCGUCGGCCAGCCGGCCAGGCGUACUAGUUCACCGUCAAGUACAGGGUAGGAUUGGUUUUUUUCAAGUUUUAAUUCACGAGAGAAAAUACCGUCCGGUUUUAUGUUAAAAAUAUGUAAGUUUGAACGUAAAUCGUCCAAUCUAUUUAAAUUAGCAUCAAAUUUGUUUUCUUUUUUUUAAAUCACGUGUGCAAAACAAACAGCUAUCUGAAGAAAAGCUAGAGUUAACUGAAGAAACGCUACAGCUAACUGAAGGAAAGAUACAGCUACAUUAUUCUAGUGCAAAGAGAUUAACACUAACACUCUACCGCUAUUCCCCUCCAAGUUAGAGAUGCCCUCAUGAUAUAUUGGCAAAAGACAACCAGCAUCAAUGUAUUGAUCAAGUUCGUGGAACAAGCCUAUGUAACACUUCGAUGUUUAAGAUAUAACCAACAACCCGGAUGUAGGUACAUAUGAACAUGUGUAAGAAUGUGUAGGAAACAGAACAACCAACAUCAACAUAUUUAGGAUCAAGUAUUGACACUUUAGGCCAGUCACACUUACAAAUCUUGUUGUCCGAAUUAUAAAGUACAUGGACAUAAAAGAAAAAAUAGAAAAUAACAGUAAUGAAUUCGUCACUUCAACUAGGCUCCACAUUUUCAGAUCGGUGACUUUCAUUAUCCAUCGAACCUGCAUGCAGAAGCAAUAGAGUAGUAAGUUUCAUGACCAAAAUGACAUAAGUUGUAGCAACAAUACUAAAAAUAUAAAUAACAGAAUCACAAUGGAAGCUGUCCUUUAUCGAGGUACUGUGUCAUCAAUUGGCACUAUAGGAGCAUCUACAGUUUCUCCCUCUAUAUGUCUUCUCAUCCAAUUUUGUUUAUGAUGGGCAGUAUCAAAAAGCUCGAAGAAUUUGCUGACAUGAUAAGGUUCUGUUUCCACAUCAUUCCAUUCUUCACCAUCAAAAUUAUCUCAAGGUUUCAUCUUCAAAACAAUUGACCAUCCUGGAUAUGGUCAUCCACGUAGAACACUUGUCAACUUGAUUGACAAAUGCAAAAGGUUCAUCCAGUCGUGUAGCUCCUUGGUGUAGCUAGCUAAGUUAGGUUCGGUUGCUUAAGGUGUCAAAACUAUGGUAAAAUGGUACGAGCCAAAUAUAUCGGCGGUUUCACUAAAACUGAGAAAAUUUCUGUUUUUAGAAACUGUAGUAUUCAUUGCCAACGCAUAAUAAUACCGAAGUUUUGGUAUGGGGCGGUAUUUUGAAAACUUCUGCAUAUAAGUUUUGGUAUGGGGCGGUAUUUUGAAAACUUCUGCGUAUAAUUUCGUCCAAAGCUUGCAGAUUCAGAGAUCUGGGGACGCGGGGAUGAGGUACCUCUCUGAGCUGAGCAGGGGACGAGGAUUGGGGAGGACCGGAGGAUCAACGGCUGAGGAAGCGACCACGGAGCGCACUGGAAGUGGGCGGCUCCGGUAGUCCGGUCAGCAGGGCGCGGUGGUGCGCCCAGCUGCGUGCCUGCGCGGACAGCAGCCGGCCGGGCGCCAACCGAGGCAGGAAGCAGCAGGUUGCGGGUAUCAGCCUUCAUGCCGGUCAGGGUCACAGGGCGGUCUAUCGAUGGCUCCGGGCGGCCGGGCAAGGACGGCGAGGCAGGUGGUAGAUCAAGUAUUCCCGGGACUGGAGAAGCAGGGUCGACUGACUGUGUGUGGCUGCUUUCGCUUUGGCACGACACGAGGAGCAGGGUAGGCUGUUACUGGGCUUAUAUUUUUCUCCAAGCCCAUCUCUUAUAUUACCUAUGUGUGGUAUACAGGCUGGGCCAAAAUUCCAGGGUGGAGCGUGGCUCGUCCUGUGCCUCCUCCUAUGAUCUGGAUCGGAGAAUAAAAGGAAGGGACUACGCAAAAAAUUGAUUUUCGCCCGAACGGAUUUUCGCGCCACACUCCUUGUGUGUAGCAGAUAUAUUGGCAACACAUACAUGACAACAUAUAAAAUCUGUUGCAAUCUAUGUAGGGCACUAUGAUAACGAACAAGUCGACAAUGCAUAUGCUGCAAUGCUUAUAUGCGUAUCUCUUGUAAAUUUUGCAACUUAUAGUCAAAACGUUGUAGAAUAUGUGUUGCUUUAUAGGGGUAUCCUUGUAGUGAUAUCUGGGAAAGCUUGCCACACUUUAUUUAUGUCCAUACGCUAAUGCAACACCAUUCGAAUACUACAAAUAUACACUAAUCUAGUGGCUAGUGCAAUAGUAAAGUAGUUAUUUUAUUACAGGGUACAGUACAAUAGUUUUACUGAACAGAUUUCAAUAAACUCUAGCACUGGAAGAUUUCUAUAAGAAUUAACAAUAUAAAAUGUAAAGGUAACAAGUUUCAGCAUUGGUAUACUAGCUGUGCAUGGGCAUUAAACCAAAUACAAAAGUCUGAAGGUAACUAGCAUUAUUAACUAAUGACAGUAUAAAAAAUUCCAAACCAUGUACCUUCAAGGUAAAUAUCAUUUCGAACUCGAGGGGACCUAAAUAUUCCUAUCCCAAUCUUGAUAAUAGGUCAAACAUGAAAACUUGAUCGAACGAAUCAAGAGAACAACCGGAGGAGGAGGUACCCACUCUUGACCUUUCCUCUUGACACUGUAAAAAAAAUUGACUCAUCUCAUGAAAAUAAGGUAUGUAAGCUAUAAGCAUUAACAGUGCAAAAAUCUGAAGGUAGUAACAAGAUUCAUCGUUGGUAUACUGGUUGUGCAACAACAUUAGAAUGCCUUAGCUGAAAAAUCUUUAAUUCAUCCACAAUCAACAGCUAACCCUGAAAUAAUCCAGUGACAUUAAAUGACAUUGCUUAAAUUUAUCGGUGGCAUUAGACUGAGUGCGUCAUUAGUUAAAUGUCACAUCACUUUAGCAGUAGCAUUGCUUGACUUGACUGUUGGCGUUAUACAAACAGCAAAAAAGUGACAAUAAGAGCAUGGGAGGCCCAUUCCGACAGUGGGCACACCAGUACAAUGUACCUCCACGGACGCAUAGAGUGGUGAGGGAGGUAUGGUUGCCCAGAGCAAACAAAUAUCCAGGCAGCAUAUGUGGAUUACGUCCCAUUUUUGUUCUAUUUAGCCACCUUUUUCCUAUGUGAGGACAACAAACUGAUCGACCUUGUCAUUCUCUAUUGUGUUGUCAUGCCUUUCUACCCUUCUUCAACCAAGAGACACGAGACUCGUUCCUUAGCUACUGAUUUUCCCCUUUUCAACCUAGAUGCGGGUUCGAUGCCUACAGUCUCCCUUCCUUUCCUUAUUCAACCCAGACAUGGAUUAGUAUGCAUGAAGUAGGGUUUCCUUUAAUAGUGCAAAUUAAGGUUUUCGUCUGUGUGACCAGCAGAGCAGAGGAUAGCAAAUUGGGAAGAUGGUGGAGUGAAAAAAGACCCACAUGCAGCGACGUGACAGAUGGGGCAAUAGAGUAAGGGUAUGGUUCCAAAGGAGGUAGCAUACCUGAGGGUCGGCGAGAAGUGGCUUCGCUCGUGGUCAUCGUCCUCCGCACACACUACGGCAGCGAGCUUGGGGACGGAGGCCAUUCCGUGCGGACGCUAGGUCUGAGAGGACGGCCUUGUCGUUAAUGCGUGACCUCGCUCGCCGAUGACGAGUGCGUCAACGCUGCACGUCCUUUUCUUCCCCGGCGGAUCUGUGACCACCGGUGAGGAGGGAGAGGGAGGCCAUCUUUUUUAGAUCUGGAGAGAGGGUGAUAGUGUGAGAAGCAACUAGGCAACCCUUAGCAAGAAAGCGCUGAAGCUCCAACCUAUAUAUCUUUUUUAUACUACUAGUACUAGAGGUGGAGUAGUGGUAGAGUAGUUUAUAUUUUCUUUGCAUACAGUACCAGUUAGUCGUGCUUCAAAACUCAACGGCACGCCAUUACAAAAAUAAAGUUGAGAAAUAAUGCGGCUUUUCGGGCCAACGCGACCAGAUCGCAUUUUGCACGAGAAAUUACACACCAUGUUUCGUUGACAUGUGGUCCCAUUCCAACAUGUCAGUGAGACGACGGCGAGUCCUUUUGUACUAUUUCCGAACGAACGUGUAGGCCGGGGUGCCUCUUUGUGUACCGUGCCAAACUGGCAACCAUCCACCGACUCUUCGCCUUUCCCUCUCGAUUUGGAACUGAUGUCGCACGCUCUUCCUCCCUCCUCCAUUUGCCUUCACCCUUCCUUCUGCCAUUGUUCAACCAUCUUGUCCAUGGAGGAAACAAGCCAGAAACGACCCCGUUAUUCUUGUCUCGAUCUGAAAGAUGACGUGGUGGAGGAACUCAUUGAUUGGUGCGACAUCGUCACCUCGGCUAGCAUGGCAGGUUCGUUCCAGACCAUUCUCGACUCAACUAAUAACAUAAUAACAAGGAACCCAAGGUUCCAGGAGCGGUUUGAUCUCCCUUAUCUUCUUCACUAUAAGCCUGUUCUUGAUAAUGAUAUGCAUGGGCGCGGACGACGGAGGCCACACCUUGUGCAAGUUGACACUGCUUGAUAAUGAUACGCGUGAUGUCAAGAUGCCAUCGCUUAAGGGUAAGGCCUGGGCUGGCACAAAUGGAGAUUGGGUUUUUUAUAUUGGGUACAAUUGCGAGUGGAACUUGUGAAUGUGUACACUCGUCAGCGGAUUCUACUUCCAAAAAUCUUAGAGUGCCCCGAGGUUGAGCACAUAGAUGAUAUGCGUACGUUCAAAAUACGAUCAUGGUGGCUGUCGUCUACGGAAGAUAGCAAUUUGUCGAGUUCCCAAACCGCUCUUGGAAUUACGAGAACUAUGAAGUUGUUGCUAUCUUCGACAAGCGUGUUGCCGUCGUUAUUGAUUCCACGGUUUGUCCAUGGAUAUUGCUCAAAAAUCAGUUUUUGUACACAGAUGAUGAGUACUGUGAUGCAAUUGAAUACGAGGAUCUUGUGUUUGCUGCCACCACUCGUGGCACUGUUUUUGCAUGGGAUCCUCGUAGUUUUGGUACAUUUGUCUUCCACCAUAAUUAUAAUUGUUUCAUCCACAUGCAUGCGGGUUAGCAAGUUUCCCUUUACUAAUUAACCUUCUUGUGUUUCCAAGGUCCUAUGAACAUUUCACCACUUAUACUUGAAAAUUUUUAUAACCAAGGGGGAGAUGAUGAUGGUGAUGAUCACGAGCAUGAGGACGAGCAGAACUUAUAUACUCAGUGGCACCUGGCAACUAAUUCCGAUGGAUCACCUCUUCUUGUCUAUAUAUAGUGCACUGAGAUUGUUACUACUGAGGCAGCACGUGUUGUCUCCCAUGGUCGCCCUCUUCGGACCUAUUCCAUCACCCGUUGCAGGGUAUUCGGGAUGGAUACAAGUGUGCUAGCGCCAACACCUUCUCCCUGGUUCAGUAUUGAUAGUCUUGGAGAAAACUCGCUCUUCCUUGGACUAAACUAUCCAAUGAUGGUUAAAGGCGAUCCAGCUGCUGUUGACACAAUGUUACUACCAUUUAUGAGAAGCAACUGUAUCUAUAACUCGGACAUUGCGGUGGUUCCCUACCCUGGUCCUUAUAUAUGCCGCUUUAGCCUGGAUGAUCAGUCAUGCGUUGCUCUUGUUAUUGACAAUAGCUGGCCCUUCCUAGAGCACCUAUGGUUCAAAGCAAGCAUUUCCAACGCCGAGGAUUGGUUGAGUUGAAGUUCAUUUCAUUGCUUGUUAUUUGUUGUGUGAUAAAAACUUCAGUAUUUACUAUAAUGUUUUGUUGGAAAUAUUCUAUAAUCUAACAUGUAUCCUCGUUGUCAUUGUGUGUUGAUGACUUGUUGUAUGUAAUGAAUGGUACAUUUGCAAAUGCAUGUCAUAGACUGAAUUUAUGAAUGGUUUUCGAGUCACUUCUUGGAGUGUGAGUACCGUAGUAGUAUAGCCAGCAUCCUGUUAGUAUAUGAAGUUGCCACAUCACAUAGAGCCAAUGUAACGCCCUCGAUGCGGAUAUAUCUCCCACGUGUCGAAGCACGACUUAGAGGCAUAACCGCAUUGAAAGCAAUGUCGUAAGUGAGGUAAUCUUCGCAAACAACCCAUGUAAUACAAUAAAGGAAAAGGUACAUAGUUGGCUUACACUCGCCACGUCACACAAAUAUCAUAAAUAACAGUACAUUCAUCCAAAUACACUCAAGGUCCGACUACGGAACCAAAAUGAAGAUAAACCCCAAAUGCAACAUAGUCCCCGAUCUCCCCAACUGGGCACCACUACUGAUCAUCUGGGAAAGACACGUAGUAACGACGAGAGUCUUCAUCGAACUCCCACUUGAGCUCGGUCAUAUCAUCUGGAGCGGUAUCAUCGGUCCCUGCAUUUGGUUUUGGAAGUAAUCUGUGAGUCACAGGGACUCAGCAAUCUCACACCCUCGCGGUCAAGACUAUUUAAGCUUAUAGGUAGGGUAAAGGUAUGAUGUGGAGCUGCAGCAAGCGACUAGCAUAUAUGGUGGCUAACAUAUUCGCAAAAGAGAGCGAGAAGAGAAGGCAAAAGCACGGUCGAUCAACUAUCAUCAAGAAGUGAUCCUAGAACAACCUACGUCAAGCAUUACUCCAACACCGUGUUCACUUCCCGGACUCUGCCGAGAAGAGACCAUCAUGGUUACACACGCGGUUGAUGCAUUUUAAUUAAGUUAAGUUACAGGUUACCUACAACCGGACAUUAACAAAUUCCCAUCUGCCCAUAACCGCGGGCACGACUUUCGAAAAUUCAAAUCUCUGUAGGGGAGUCCCAACUUAGCUCAUCACAAGCUCUCACAGUCAAUGAAGGAUAUUCCUUCUCCCAAGACAAUCCGAUCAGACUCGGCAUCCCGGUUACAAGACAUCUCGACAAUGAUAAAACAAGUCCAGCAACACCGCCCGAAUGUGAUGACAAAUCCCGAUAGGAGCUGCACAUAUCUCAUUCUCAGGGCACACUCAGAUAAGCAAUCCAUACAACUAAAACCAGCCCUCGAGUUUCCCCGAGGUGGUGCUGCAAGGGGCUCUAGUUUGGACCAACACUCAGAGGAGCACUGACCUGGGGGGGUUAAUAAAGAUGACCCUUGGGCUUCGGAAACCCAAGGGAAAAAGAGGCUAGCUGGCAAAUGGUAAAACCAAUGUUGGGCAUUGCUGGAGGAGUUUUAUUCAAGGAGAACUGUCAAGGGGUUCCCAUUAUAACCCAACCGUGUAAGGAACGCAAAAAUCCGGGAACAUAACACCGAUAUGACGGAAACUAGGGCGGCAAGAGUGGAACAAAACACUAGGCAAAAGGCCGAGCCUUCCACCCUUUACCAAGUAUAUAGGUGCAUUAAGAUAAACAAGAUAAUAUGGUGAUAUCCCAACAAUAAACAUGUUCCAACAAGGAACGAUCUCCAAUCUUCACCUGCAACUAACAACGCUAUAAGAGGGGCUGAGCAAAGCGGUAACAUAGCGAAACAACAGUUUGCUAGGACAAGGUGGGUUAGAGGGUUGACAUGGAAAUUUAGGAGGCAUGAUAAGCAAGUGGUAGGUAUCGUAGCAUAGGCAUAGCAAAAGAGCGAGCAUCUAGCAAGCAAAGAUAGAAGUGAUUUCGAGGGUAUGGUCAUCUUGGCUGCAAAGUUCUCAGAGUUGCCUUGAUCCUCAUAAGCGUACUCAACGGGCUUCCUCGUUCACGUACUCGUCUCCCGGCUCUACCCAAGUAAUAACAACAAGCAAAAGGAACACAAUCAAUCCCGUGCAAUGCUCAAACAACAUGAUGCAAACAUGGUAUGAUAAUGCGGGACGCGGUAUGUGAUGCAUAUGCAUGAUUUCGAAAGGAAUGAUUGAACUUGGCCUCAACAUGGAAAUCCAAGAGUGCCACUAGAAAGGGGAGUUGAUUUUGGUUGAAAUCAAUAUAAAGAUCACCGGAAACAGAUGCACGGUUUGGAAAUGGCAAGCAAAACAAAUAUGGCACCGGUCUGCGAUAAUCAGCAAGAGCCUUCUAAAUGCAUCAAGAUAAAUAAACUACUGCACUCAAACAUGAUAACAAAAUACAUGGGAGGGAUCCACUCAUGAUGAUUGACAAAAUAUGAACACUGAGCUACGGCUAAUUCACUCAAUAGCAGGUUCAAACAAGCAUGACAAAAGUGUAAAAGAUAACAGGUUUCAGACUUAGUGAAAUUAACAGCAUGUCAGGAAUUUAUCAUCAGGAAGCAAUGUUUAGAGCACGAUAACUAUAUGCUACAGGAACAUAUCAUGGCAAAGCAAGGCAUGGUAUGAAGCUGCUCUAAGCAUAUAACAAAAGUCCCUUAGAGACCAUGAGCCAAAAGGGAUCACAAAAUACAAUUGCAAGCAUGUGAAUAUAGCAAAAACAUAAACAGAUUCAGACUUAGUGAAAAACUGGAGCAUGGCAAAACAGAUAACGAGUAGGCAUGUUUACGAGCUCGAUGCACUCACUACGAGGCAUUGCAUGAAAAACUAAACAUACACCCAGCAAAUAGACAUGGCAUAGAAGCUAGACAUGGCAAGAACAACAACAUAGCAUGCACGGAUCAACUACAAUAAGCUCGGCAAAAUCGCUAAAUAUGUUAACAAUCUGCCAGGAACAUUUUAUAGUAAAAUUAGAGAUCGAUUGACUCAAUCUAGGGUGCUCCAUAAUUGCAAACAAAGGCAUGUAUGGAUAGAUCACAACAUUAUCUACAAAACAUCCUUUACUGAUCAUGCUCAAAAGAGGCACAGAUCACUAGGAAACAACAUGAACAUAUGGCAUAAAAAUAAUGACAGGGCAAGGACUUAGUGAAAUUCUAAGUCCCUGAAAUCAGCAUCAUUGAGUAAGCUACUUUGCAUGCUUGUGCUAGUCACCACAAAGGUCGCAAAAAUACAUGGCAUACACCCCUAUAAAGAUGGCAUGGCAUACAUCAAAAUACAUGUAGAGCUCGGGAUCAUAGCAUGCACAUAUUAAUCAUGAGAAAAAUGACAAAAGUUUAUUUGCUGAAACAGAUCUGAAAUUAUCUUCACACAGCCCUCUUCCAACAGUAUUUCGGGCAUCAAGGUGAGCUCAAAUAAAAAUGAUGCAAUGAGAUGAAAUGGAGUACUCGUCGAGGCGAACAUUUGAUAUGCUACACGCACGAAUCGGAGCUACGAUGAGAAAGUUAUGGCAUGAUGAAGAAUGCUAAAAUUUACUAAGAGAGGCAAAAGUCAACCCGAUUCUCAGAUCUAGGGUUCGCACACGGAUCGAGGUGGCGGCGGAUCCGAGCUCGCCGGAGCUGUAGACGGCCGGAGUACGAACCACCGGAGUGAGGGGGAGGUGGAUCUGGCGGGGGCGCGGCUAGCGACGAGGAUGGUGAGGGCGCGGCGCCUCGGAGCGGUGCGGAAGCCGAGUCGGCGGGGUGACGAUNNNNNNNNNNNNNNNNNNNNNNNNNNNNNNNNNNNNNNNNNNNNNNNNNNNNNNNNNNNNNNNNNNNNNNNNNNNNNNNNNNNNNNNNNNNNNNNNNNNNNNNNNNNNNNNNNNNNNNNNNNNNNNNNNNNNNNNNNNNNNNNNNNNNNNNNNNNNNNNNNNNNNNNNNNNNNNNNNNNNNNNNNNNNNNNNNNNNNNNNNNNNNNNNNNNNNNNNNNNNNNNNNNNNNNNNNNNNNNNNNNNNNNNNNNNNNNNNNNNNNNNNNNNNNNNNNNNNNNNNNNNNNNNNNNNNNNNNNNNNNNNNNNNNNNNNNNNNNNNNNNNNNNNNNNNNNNNNNNNNNNNNNNNNNNNNNNNNNNNNNNNNNNNNNNNNNNNNNNNNNNNNNNNNNNNNNNNNNNNNNNNNNNNNNNNNNNNNNNNNNNNNNNNNNNNNNNNNNNNNNNNNNNNNNNNNNNNCGCCGGCGACGCGCGCGUGGGCCGGGAGGGCUCUCCCCGGGCCCAGGCGGGCCCGCGCGGCGGCGAUGUGGGCACCGGGCGGCGACGAGUCAGGUGGUGCCACGUGUCGGCGGCGGAGUUGUGUCCGGCGGCGCGGGGAGCGGAAUUUUAGGGUUUCGCCCGGAUUUGGAAUGUAGGGAUCUUUAUAUAGGGGUAGAGGGAGCUAGGAAGCUCCAAAUGAGGUGCGGUUUUCGGCCACGCGAUCGUGAUCGAACGCUCUAGAUGAUGGAGGAGGUUUUGGUGGGUUGUGGGCCAGUUUGGAGGGGUGUUGGGCUGCAACACACACGAGGCCUUCUCGGUCCCUCGGUUAACCGUUGGAGUAUCAAACGAAGUCCAAAUGACACGAAACUUGACAGACGGUCUACCGGUAGUAAACCAAGGCCGCAUGACAAGUCUUGGUCCAAUCCGAAAACGUUUAACACCCGCACACGGAAAGAGGUAGAAAGGGACACCGGAGGAUAUAGGAGCGCCGGAAUGCAAAACGGACAAUGGGAAAAUGCUCGGAUGCAUGAGACGAACACGUAUGCAAAUGCAAUGCAUAUGAUGACAUGAUAUGAGAUGCAUGACAAAGACGAAAACACACGAAGGCAAAAACCCGACAAAGUGGAAAUAUCAUAACUUAGUGCCGAAAAUGGCAAGAGUUGGAAUAUAAAUAAGGUAAGUUACAUCAGGGGUGUUACAGCCAACCUAAUAUUGGAGUAUGCUAGCCCUCCAUCGGUGUGUCGCUUCAAAUGGCAGACAAAGUGAGAGGUCGCGUCACCACUUGUACCAGAUGAAUGACUCCAAGUUCGACCACCGUGAUGCUAGGUGCGAGCCGAUGAACACUGUUGGAGACACCCCCCUCAUAAUAUUCCUAUAUUGGCCGUUUGAUUCAUAGGAUAGAAUGCUAUAGGAAUUUUUUUCCCUAUGUAAUCAUGUUUUAAUUGGCAAUCUAGCAUCCACUCCAACUUUUGUUUCACUUCCUUUGUUCCUAUGAAGAGAGUACUUUCUCUAAGUUAUGUGCCUAUGCAAGAGCCGCCUAUAUUAAUUAACCAUGCUCUAAAAAGGUGGACCAGCUUUGGCUAUAGUAGUACUGUACUAGGUUAGUAGGUGACCUUGUGCUUGGCUCUUCUUCUUUUCUGGAAGUCGAACAAUAAUGAUGGUACUGCAGUGGUACUUCUGGCAAUCUGACACCAAAUGAACUGUUGCACAUCCAUCGCUUGUAAGCAAAAGUUUCUCCUCAUGCUGCGAGCCACCGCGCACGCGUUAGCGAGGGAGAAGGCGUACUUAGCAAGCAAGCUUCUCGUCGUUCUGCGAGUUGACGGGACACAUCAAAGUUAUUUAUUAGUACUCUCCUCAAAAAGGGCCAACCAUGUCCAUGGCUACCAUCCCGUGCUCUGUCAUUGAGUACAUGCACUAUUCACGUGCCAUCGAGGAAAAAAUAUUGCAUAGUACUAGGUGCCAUCGAAGUGCACGACUCACUUACGCACUGCAUAUCUCCAUUUUCUUGCAUGACACGCCACCUAGAUGUUAUAUGUCCCGCGUUUCAUGGAGGCAUAUAGUAUGAUUUUUAAAAUGGAGGCAUAUAGAUGUCUCGCGUGUUGGCAAAAGGAUGAACAAAGCUCAUGUCUUAAACGAAAGAGUGAAAGAACAUAGAUUCCCGACGACCGAGAAGGAGCAACGAACCUCGCGGUGGAGCGUCUGCACUCAUAAUAUUUUAUAUUAUUCAAUGAUAUAAAAUCAACCAAAUCUCUCCACGUUCCUAUACCAUUCUAUAGUAUGAGAAUAACUUUGAACGUAAGCCAUUUAUUCACUCUAUCCAACGGUCAUAGUUGGAAAAUCCAAACAAAACCAAGCAUUGGAUCAACUCUUUUAGCACUUAGAUUUUUGCCGCCUGCCCACCUAGCCCACCUAUAUAUCCGCUCACGUGUGAUGACCACAUGAGCUAUCCACUCAGAUUGUAUGUUAAAAAAUAAAGGUCGAUAACUAAUGCGGUACCUCGGGCCAACGCGGCCAGAUCGCAUUUUGCAAGAGAAAUUACACAACAUGUCUUAUUGACAUGUGGUCCCGUUCCAACAUGUCAGUGAGACGACGGCGAGUCCUUUUGUACUAUUUCCGAACGGACGUGUAGGCUGGGGCGCCUCUUCGUGUACCGUGGCAAACUGGCAACCGUCCACCGACUCUUCGCCUUUCCCUCUCGAUUUGGAACUGAUGUCGCACGCUCUUCCUCCCUCCUCCAUUUACCUUCACACUUCCUUCUGCCAUUGUUCGAUUGUCUUCUCCAUGGAGGGAACAGCCAGGAAACGAUCCCGUUAUUCUUGCCCCGAUCUGAAAGAUGACAUGGUGGAGGAACUCAUUGAUCGGUGCGACACCAUCCGCUCGGCUAGCAUGGCAGGUUCGUUCAAGACCAUUCUCGACUCAACUAAUAACAUCAUUACAAGGAACCCAAGGGUCCAGGAGUGGUUUGAUCUCCCCUAUCUUCUUCACCGUGACCCUGCUGACUGGCGCGGGGACGAGGGAAGCCUCGCCUUGUGCAAGUUGAUGCCGCUUGAUAAUGAUACGUAUGAUGUUAAGAUGCCAUCGCUUGAGGGCAAGUCUUGGGCAGGCACAAAUGGAGAUUGGGUUGUUUAUAUUGGGAACAACUGCGAGUGGGAACUUGUGAAUGUGUACACUCGUCACCGGGUUCCACUUCCAAAAAUCUCAGACUGCCCAGAGGUUGAGCACACACUACUAGGGAAAACCUUAUACACAGAAUCUUAGCAGCAACGCGGUUUAAAAACAAACGCUACUACUAGGUAGCGGUAGCGAGCUUCAGAAAACAGCGCUGCUAAUAGCACGGUAGCAGUAGCGGUCUACGUGAAACAAGCGCUACUACUAUAAUUGCCACGGCGUUGCCCCCGGGCUAGAUAUAGUAGUAGCGCCCCUCCGGGGACGCGCUACUGAUAAAGUAUUUAGUAGCAAUGUUUUUCUCCAAAACACGCUACUGCUAAGUACUGCACCUAAUUAAGUUUAGUCCCAUACUGCUAAGCGAACAAGGUGUUUACCACCUUAAAUAUGUUACUUCUCAAACUAUCUCGAGCACUUGGUCUUCAUUGAACUAUAUGUGUAGGAUUUGUGGCUGCAAUAUGAAUCUUCACCAGUGCUUAUACAGGUACAGUGAUGAUUCAUGUUGACUAUUUAGAUUCUACACAAAAAGAUCAAUGAUGACCAAUGUAUAUUUUUGAAGUUUUUACAUGCUUUGACUUAGCAGUAGCAUUUUUUCAGGGCAAAACGCUACUGAUAUCAUAAAACAGAAAGGAGUAGCUGUAGCGUGUUUCGCUUGACAAGCUAUAGCUAACUUAGCUAUAGCGCGUUUGGGCCAAACGCGUUGCUGCUAGUUUGACUUAACCCCCGCCGUCGGGCUCAAAAUUUCCCUAAGUCCUUCCCCUCCACUUCCCCCUCUCCCCAAACUGCUCCAUCGCCGUCGUCGCCCUGCCGCUCUCGACCUCACCGCCGCCGCUCUCGACCUCACCACCGCCGCCGCCCGCCGCACACCCUCAACGCCGCCCCCGACCCCGACCUCGACGCUGCCCCCGACCUCGACGCCGCCCCCGACCCCGACAUCGACGCCGCCCUCCUUCGCGCGCCCGAGCCCUGACCCCGCCCUCGACGCCGCCUGCCCCUCCCUCGNNNNNNNNNNNNNNNNNNNNNNNNNNNNNNNNNNNNNNNNNNNNNNNNNNNNNNNNNNNNNNNNNNNNNNNNNNNNNNNNNNNNNNNNNNNNNNNNNNNNNNNNNNNNNNNNNNNNNNNNNNNNNNNNNNNNNNNNNNNNNNNNNNNNNNNNNNNNNNNNNNNNNNNNNNNNNNNNNNNNNNNNNNNNNNNNNNNNNNNNNNNNNNNNNNNNNNNNNNNNNNNNNNNNNNNNNNNNNNNNNNNNNNNNNNNNNNNNNNNNNNNNNNNNNNNNNNNNNCCCCUCCCUCGCCGCAGUCACCGUAAGGCUCUUUAGUAGUAGGCAUUUUUAGGGCAGUAGGCAUUUUUUAGGGUAGUAGGCAUUUGUUUAAGGCAUUAGGCAUUUUUAGGGCAAUAGGCAUUUAUUUAGGGCAGUAGGCAUUUUUAGCAUUUAGGAAAAAUGAUUAACAAUUUUUUUAGGAAAUUAGCUAGGGCAAAUUUUGAUGAAAAAACAAAAAACAGAAUUGUUUUUCUUUCAAAAACUUGGUUAAACUAAUUGUUGCUAUGUUAACAAAAAACAUGAUUGUUGUUAUAUGAUAUAUGUCAUUGAUGUUCAUUUGCAUAUUCCAUUAUUGAAGUGGUUCGAUUGUUCCCAAGUGGAUUUGUUGUUUCCAGGGAAUGAAGUCGAGUGGCCUAUGUUUUGCCGGAAUGUUGAUUUAUUUCCGUUCCGGCAAAUUUUAGGUUCUCGAUUUGUCCACUUUUUAGUAAAAGUCAUGCCGAAAUUUUCCAUGAAUUUCGGCAUGACUUGUGCUAGAAACUAGGACAUAUGGAGUGAGAUGAUUAAUUUUGCUUAUUGAGUGCAUGCUAAUUUGAAUACUUAUUUAUUUUACGAUUUGGUUUUGCUUAUUGAAUGCCUAUGUCAAUAUGAGUCCUAUAUGAUAUUUUGAGUAUCUUGGUAGUUGUCUUCGAUCGAUUUUCAAUUAAUGUUUCAACUAUGAACACAGGAAAUGUCUGACAACGAAAAUGAUUUCGGUAUUUGCAAAUACUGCGAAGACGAGCGCGGCAUGUGCGACAAAAUUUUCCUAGAUUAUGAUAGGCGCUUCAACAUCAAGCUGGGCGUGAACUUCGAAGUGGAUACAGUAAGUCACAGCGACAAGUCCUUUUCGUAAUUAAGCAUGACAUCUGCUUCACUUGCUUCAACUUAUAAUUUAUUUUUUUUACUAUUCUACUACCGUAUCCCCUGCCAUGCAAGAGUUUUUUUCUUGGAUAAGAUAGAUUUCAGUCGUACUAUGGAGGUAAACAAAGUUUACUUGAAGAACGAGCAUGGUUGUAUUUUCCACGGAAAAUGAUACAACGCAGACGACUACGCCUAUUUUGGUUGCAAAACUUGGCGAGCACUAUGCAAGACUUAUGCAUUUCAGCCUGAUAUGGUUAUCACCUUUGAUAUUCAUCCGGAAGAUGAUAUUGAAGGUAAUACCGACAUCUGGGUCAAUGUGCAGAUGCCUCCAGUUAUACCACUAUGUGAGUUUCUCAACCAUAUUUAUGUCUUUGAUAUUGUUUAUUAAAAAAUAGUUGACAACUAAUUUCUAUCGUCAGCUUAUUUCUGUUCAAGCAAACAUGUCCAGCGCUUGGUAGACAGGACCUACUACUGUCUCAGGGCUGAACUAAACUGCAAGGAGCUAAGUCAUUAUGUUUCAUGGCUUGAGGAUCUUGAUACUGUCAAGACAAAUUUUCUUUCUGCACUUAGAAAUGUUAGUACUGAAAACGUGCGACCAAUAGUGUUCGUAAUGAACUACGGUCACAUCUAUUUAGGAAAGAUGGUAAGAUUUUGACUAUUUGUCCUCAGUGCAUCUUUUGCAUACAUUUUUUAAGCUAAACUUCAUUGCUAAGUAUGUUACUAUACGAUGUUCUUCAACAGGGACUCCCAGUGAAUGUUGUGCCUCAUGGGAUCGAGACUAAAGGUACCAUGAGUAUUGUUAGCUUACGGCCAAGAUAUCCUACAAUGCACUUUAGUGCAUUCAAGAUUUCUAAUAGCGAGGGAUGCUUAAUAGUGAAAGACUGGACCAAAUUUGUGAUGGAGGAGUGCAGAGAAGUACUAGGGGGCAGCAAUCAGAAGCGCAGCGCACGAUUAGGAGACAGGUUCAUCUGCAUGCUCCAACUUGAUGAAGGAGGAGAGCUACACAUGUUUUAUGUUAUUUUACCUGAGAGAGAGCAGCAGGAGUGAUUAGCUAGCUAGAAAUAAGUUUGAAGAUGAUGAUGUGCUACAGUAUGACUAUGAUGAUUAAAUAGCUAGUGUUGGUGGUAAUGACUAUGAUGAUUAUUAUUAGCUAGUGUUGGUGGUGAUUAGAAUGGGUUUGAAGAUGAUGGUGUGAUACACUAUGACUAUGGUGAUUAAAUAAAUACUGUUGGUGGUAAUGACUAUGAUGAUGAUUAAAUAGCUUGUGCUGGCAGAUUAGAUUCAAGUGGAGGCAACAUGUGGUGCAUAUCGAAAGUACUACUAGUCUAAACUAGAUCAAGUUUGGAUUAGUAGUAUACCUUUGACAUGCACCACAUAUUGCCUCCACUUGAACCGAAUACACCACUGUUAUGGACAUAAUGAUAUAAACCUCAUAAUUGGUAUUGUACCAAAAUUUGUAUAACGGUGUAUAAAUACACUAAAAAUAAAAAAAUAAAAAAAGAAUACUAGUAGCGAUGGAUAGUAAACACGCUCCAACUAGCUAGAUUAGCAGCAGCGCGGGAGAGAACAAGCGCUGCCGCUAUGUGUCUUAGCAGUAGCGCGUGCGGCAGGCGCUACUGCUAAGUAAUAGCUGUAGCGCGGCAGCCUGCGCUACUAGUGGGCAUUAAACCCGCGCUACUACUAGGGUUUUCCCUAGUAGUGACACCGGUAUUCUAGGCACGUUCAAAUACGAUCAUGGUGACUGUCUUCUAUGAAAGAUAGCAAUUUGUCGAGUUCCCAACCGCUCUUGGCAUUACAGGAACUAUGUAGUUGUUGCUAUCUUCGACAAGCUUGUUGCCGUCCUUCAUGGUUCGACUGGAUGGAUAUUGCUCAAAAAUCAGUUUCUAUACACGGAUGUGUACUGUGAUGCAAUUCAAUACGAGGGUCUUGUGCUUGCUUCCACCACUCGUGACACUGUUUUUGCAUGGGAUCCUCGUAGUUUCGGUACGUUUGUCUUCCAUCGUAAUUAUAAUUGUUUCAUCCACAUGCAUAUGGGUUAGCAAGUUUCCCUUUAGGCUGCUCGUAGUGAGAGUAUCAUAGGUAGUAUCAUGCAUGCCAACUAGGAAGUUUUGAUGAGGUGGCAUGGAAUUAAAUGAAGAAAGAGGGGGUUGAGUAUCAUAUCAUGACACCGUAUCAUAUUAAAUGAUGUGCUACUAUAUGUCAUGCAUGGCAAUAAAUGACUAUCCUAUAAUACUAACAUAUGAUACUAUGCACUACGGAUGUAGUCUCAUACACUAGUACCAUAUGCAUGAUACUAGUAUAUGAUCCUCUCCAUUACAACCAGCCUUACAAAUUAACCUUCUUCUUGUGUUUCCAAGGUCCCGUCAACAUUCCACCACCUAUACUUGAAAAAAAUUAUAACCAAGGGGGAGAUGACGAUGGUGAUGAUCACGAGCAUGAGGACGAGCAGGGCCCAUAUACUCAGUGGCGCCUGGCAACUUAUUCCGAUGGAUCACCCCUUCUUAUCUGUAUAUAGCCCACUGUUGAUGUUACUACUAAGGAAGCAGGUGUUUUCUCCCAUGGUCGCACUCUCCGGACCUAUUCCAACACCCGUUGCACGGUAUUCAGGAUGGAUACUAGUGUGCUAGCGCCAACACCUUCUCCCUGGUACAGUAUUGAUAGUCUUGGAGAAAACUCGCUCUUCCUUGGACAAAACUAUCCAAUGAUGGUGAAAGGCGAUCCAACUGUUGUUGACACAAUGUUACUACCAUUUAUGAGAAGCAACUGUAUCUAUACCUCGGACAUUUUAGUGGUUCCCUACCCUGGUCGUGAUAUAGUAGGCCGCUUCAGCCUGGAUGAUCAUUCAUGUGUUGGUCUCAAGAUUGACAGUAGAUGGCCCUUCCCAGAGAAUCACUUAUGGUUCAAAGCAAGCGUUUCCAACACCGAGGAUUGGUGGAGUUGAAGUUCAUUUCAUUGCUUGUUAUUUGUUGUGUCAUGAAAACUUUAGUAUUUAUAAUGUAUCCUGGUUGUCGUUGUGGGUUGAUGACCUGUUGUAUGUAAUAAAAUGAUAUGCCUGUGAUAAACUUACUAAAUUUAUGAAUGACUUUCAAGUCGCUUCUCUGAGUGGGUGCUGCGACGGGGUAAAAAAUAUUUUCCGAACACAUAAUUGUACAUGCAUUGCAACAGGUUAUCGGAUGAGGCCAAUCAACAAUAGUACACUUUGUACUAGCUUCAUAUGCUUCGCGCGUCGGGCGGGUGUUUUUACUGUAGCUGCGAAUCCCAUCAUCCUAGGUCCUCGGAUGAGUCCAGUAGAAAUUGCAUUCUGAUGUCUGGGUUUAAACUUUCAGAACUGCCGCACUAUCUCUACGUCUACGUAUACGCAAUACAACAAGUUUUAAACUUGAGACCAUCCACCCACUCUCACAAAGAACAAUUUUUAACCUAGCACAGACUCCAGGAAAUUUGGCUACAGUAUGAGGUGGGACAUAUGUUAAUGUGUUCGCUGUAUGUAACCAGCACUUCGAAUCCUCGAUACUACUACUAUAUAGUAGUAGGGUGGCAUAUGGGCCAGAACAAGCAUUCACGUCCAGGAGUAUGGCACACGCCACCAGCACGACUUCCAUCUAACACCAUAUUUCUUGGAGUCCGUGCUACAACUAUCUCUUCAACCUCGUCGUUUCUCUAACUCGGCCAUCGCGCGGCGGGCGAGGUGGGGGUUUGCCGAUAGUUGGUUUCCUCAACUGUGGUCCCACUUGUAAGUCCAACUCCAACGUACGACCCCAAACAGACCUCCAUUUUACCCGGAUUCUCUCCAUUUGGGUAGGGCAAUGGGGUCGUGUCCGGCCCAUUUCUCAGAUGCGGUGGCCGUGCGCCCAACGUGCGGACGGAUCCCGGCCGCAUACAUUUUUCUUUGCAAACACAUAUCUUUUUUUCAUCAUUGAUUUUUGGUACAUGGAAAUACAUCACCAAAAUUUGACUAGAAAAGCAAGACCAAAGAAAACAAGAACCACAAGAAUACAUUUUAGAAGAUAUCCAACUUCCAUAACUGCUCCUAUAAGUUGGACUAGUGCCUUCUCGAUGCAUUCAUUGUUGAUAUGCGGAGGCUCGAUCUUGCAUGCUUCUUUCUUCUUCGAGUGUAAAGAAGUAGAUGUUGCUUCCUCGCAUCUAGUCUCAUGUCUAGCCUAUAUUCUAUCAACAAGUGUACUAGUCUCAUCUCUAGUCUCUAUGCUAGCUAAAAGUGCUAGAACAUCUACUAAAUUGCGCUCUAUUAAUAUAUCGAUGUACUCUUUUUCCCAAUACCAAAACUUGCAUCCAUUCUACACAAUAAAAAUUUUAAGUUAGCACAACUAGUCUAAUCCGAGAGCACAACCGAAGAUUUGGUCGAGUUCUUCCUUCUUUUGCUGACACGUGGGACAUCCAGCAUCCAGGUCGUGUCAUGCAAGAAAAUGGAGUGGUAGUUGAAGCCAUGUGAUGUGCAUCUUGGGUUAAACUGUAAAUAGAAUCUUACUACUCUUGAGUAACUCCAAAAGCGGCCACCGAAGAUCUUUAUUGGAUUUGUUUUUCAUCACCAGCAUGUCGAGGUGAAAGAUGUGCAGGUUCAGUGGGUCCUCUUGCAUUUUCACUGACAUGUGGGACAGCAUAUGAGUAAACAGAUGGUGGGCUCCGCGCGUGUGCUGGCUGGCUGAGAAGAGAGAUAGAGGAGGGCUGAGCACGGACUCCAGGAAAUUUGUUCUAUGUAACAAGCACCUCGAUAUGGGCUCGAUAUAGUGGGGUGGCAUGGGCCAUAACUAGCAUUCACGUCUAGCAGUACGGCACACGCCACCCACAGGAGUCCCAUCCGACACCAAUUUUCUUGGAGUCCAUGCUACAGCCAUCUCUUCUCCCUCCUGUUUUCUCAGCCAUCGCGCGGUGAGCGGGGUGGGGGUUUGCCGAUAGUCGGUUUGCUCAACUGCGGUCCCACUUGUAAGUGAUAAAUGCAACACAGCACGCAUUCCCCCUUGAGUGGCGUGUCGGACCAACCGUGUGGGGGUGUGACGCGAACACGGCAGGCUUUUCCUUUUGAACUUGUAACUUGUAAAAUUUGGUUCUGCUCCAUGGCGUGACCAAUAGAUAGAAAUAACGAUUUUCCCUAGAGUAAUGAGAAAUUUGGUCCUGGUGCGGUUCAUGCAUGGAGUACGUACGAAAAUUAUGAAGUUGAUGCGAAAGGUAAGAUAAUUACUAGUAGUACCAUAUACUACUACAUGGAUUUGGCGGAAAGAUAAAAAUACAUACGGAUCCAUCAACGACAUCCUCACGCACUAGUGCGCCGGGUCACCAGCCGACGUGUGAGGAGCAGCGGCAUUGGCGGCGAGCUCAAUGUGCUUCUGAACAAUGCCGUCCAAGGUUGCCCUGCGGUCCAAGAAGGCCAGCGUCCUAUCGUCCUCCUCUUGCAUGUAGUAGUCCUUGUGGACGAUUUGUGCGUACGUGGGUGAUUAUGUCCAUGGUGUCUUGCUGCGCCAGGCGCUGCGCGGCGAGCGCGACCUCGAGGUGGACAUUCUCCGACGCGAUGACGGGAAGUCACAGGGCCACCAGUGCGUUGGUAUGUCGUCUUCGUCGCUCUCUCUAUGGCCUUAAGCAGGCCCCUCGCGCCUGGUUUGAGUGUUUUCCCUCUGUGGUGACUGCCGCUGGGUUUUUAGCGAGUGCUCAUGAUCCAGCGUUGUUUGUCCACCUUUCAGCUCGUGGUCAGACUCUUCUUCUUCUCUAUAUCGAUGACAUGAUCAUCACUGGUGAUGACCCCGAGUAUAUUGCCUUUGUGAAGAUCCGUCUUAGUGAGCAUUUUCUUAUGUCUGAUCUUGGCCCUCUUUGGUACUUUCUUGGGAUAGAAGUCUCUUCUACCUCUGAUGCCUUUUUUAUUUCCGAGGAAAGGUAUAUCCAGGAUCUUCUUGCUCGUGCUGGGCUUACUGAUGGGCGCAUUGUUGAGACUCCCAUGGAGCUCAAUGUUCACCUCCGUGAUACUGAUGGUGACCCCUUGUCUGAUCCGACGCGUUACCGUCAUCUUUUUGGGAGUCUUGUCUAUCUAGCUGUCACUCGUCCAAAUAUCUCUUAUCCAGUCCAUAUUUUGAGUCAGUUUGUCUCUGCUUCCACUUCAGUCCACUACAGUCACCUUCUUCGUGUUCUCCGAUAUCUUCAUGGCACGAUCUCUCACCGUUUGUUCUUUCCUCGCUCCAGUUCAUUACAGCUUCAGGCCUUUUCGGAUGCUAUGUGGGCUAGUGAUACCUCGGAUCGCCGUUCACUUUCUUCUUACUGUGUUUUCCUUGGUGGUUCUCUCAUUGCCUGGAAGACGAAGAAAAGAUCGCAGUUUCCCGUUCGAGUGCAGAGGCUGAGUUGCGAGCUAUGGCUCUUUUGACGGCAGAGGCGACUUGGUUAUGGUGGUUACUUCAUGAUUUUGGUGUUUCUGUCACUACAUCUACUCUGCUAUUUUCUGACAGUACAGGUGCUAUUAGCAUUGCCCGCGACCCUGUGAAGCAUGAGCUCACCAAGCAUAUUGGUGUUGAUGCUUUUUAUGUGCGCGUUGGUGUGCAGGAUCAGGUUAUUGUUCUUCAGUAUGUGCCUUCCGAGUUACAGCUGACGGACUUCUUUACAAAGGCCCAAACUAGAGCACAAGAUGGCCUCUAUUUCUCCAAACUCAGUCUUGUUCUUCCACCAUGAGUUUGAGAGGGGGGGGGGGGAGGUUAGAGUAGUAUAUAUAGCCAUGUAGCCUUUUGUCUUAACCUCGUUGUAAAAGGGGUUUCCUUCAUAUUUCCUGCACCUGUACAUGUAUAUAUACCGGCUUAUGGCCCCAUGGAAAUACAAGUUGCAUAUUCCUAACAAAAGAGACACACACAAUGUACACAGAGGUCGGGUGUGUGCUCUUUGGGUUUGUAUCCUCUUGAUGCUUCAGGAUUCCACAUCUAGUCUACUGCUUACAUCACACAUGACCUUUUUCACUUCACAUAUAGUAGAUGCAGUUCUUCUGUUCUUGUACCUGGUUGGUCUACAAGCUUGGCAUAUGCGGCUGAGUCUGCCACGGGAUCGGCACCAUAGUCUGCUCCUCCUCCUCGGCUUGUAAGCACGGAUGUACGCAUCUCUGCAUCAAGCGUGCGCGGCAGAGGCGGAGGUGUGCAACGACGUGGAACAAGGGCAAUUCUGCUCGAGCUCCAGCGACAACGAGCCAUCAGGCGACACCACCACCACUCGGCGUAGGCACACUGCGGCAAGGCAGGAUCGAGGUGAAGGACAUGGAGAGCGACACGGUUUCGGCAUCCGGCCACAAGACGGAGACCGAGUGCGAGUCCGGGGUGGAGGCGGAGCACGUACGGUACCUCCUCACGUCCCCGAGGAAUCCGAGGAUACAGAAUAAAUACUUGGCCGGCCGGCGCUCUUUGUCGCCACCGUACCGUGAGAUAUCAUACAGAUACAGAGCAGGGAGGGAGAUCACGUACGUACGUUCGUUCCCGAGUCAAGCGCGCAGAUUGAUAGAUAGAUAGAUGUCCAAUUUUUGCGUUGAGGAGGAGGAGAUGCAUAAUACUAGUAGUACCCAACAACAAAUCAACAAGGCCGUCGACUUGGCGGCUUACCUUGUUGAUCAUCCUGACAAGGCCCUCGGCUUUCUGGUGCAUGAGACGCAAGGGUUGCGCCGUCGGAUUCAGUCCCAGGCAUCGCUUCUGAGGAAUUCUCAAGUCGACAUGCGCUCGGACAAGCUCCAAAAGAUGCGUCUCAUGUCCACCGCAUUGCUUAUUAUGCAUCUCCUCCUCCUCGUGACUACAAGGACGACCAAAUUCCUUGGCCUCUUCGUUCUCACUAUUCCGGCUGGAAGUCUACGUGGGGAAGUCCACCGCCAGCUCAUGGCACAUUUUAUGACACAAGUAAGAUAAGAAUGCUUUUUUCAACAACAGAUUAGAUUAUCAACUGUUCUUUAAUACCAAACAUCAACAUCUAGAGGGUAUAGACUGGCCUACCGCUCCCGCGGCGCGCCCCGCGCGUGCCUCGGGAGAUCCCGAUCGGCCGCCGCCGCCGUCGCCUCCCCAGCAUCGCCUUCCCCUCGCCGCCGCCGGAGUGCGCCCGCCGGGCGAAGCCUGCGCGGCGCGGGCGGCGGCGGGGCAUUCCCUCCUUCCUCUGGUCCUCGUGGCGGCGGCGGGGCAUUCCCUCCUUCCUCUGGUCCUCGUGGCGGCGGCGCGGGCCGUCAGAUCGGGGACAAGGGGCGCCUCGUCCGGCUGGUCUCCCGGAGGCGGGGACGGCUGGAUCCGGCGGCGACUGGGCUAGGAGGAGGUGGCGCGGUGUGGCGGUGCUGGUGGCAGGGUUUCGGUCGAGGUCGUCUUCGAUCUAGAUCGGGAUCUCCAUCGGGGGCGUCGCACGGCGGUGGGAUCGGAUCGGCGGCAACAUCACCGGUUCGGCGGAGGGCUCCGUUCCAGCCAACCGCGAGAUCGGGACGCCGUGGCUUCCGGUGAAAAUAGCGUCUGACUGCGGUCAUGGCGGACGAUGGCGGCGUCUCGGACGUCAUUCCCUUCUCGAGGCAUCGUCGUUGCAGGUCACGUCAACCUGAUCGGAAGGUUCCGGGGGAAACCCUAGAUCUGGAUUUACCGGAUUGGACGAUGGCGACGUUUUGAUGUCGUUUUCCCUCCUGGGGGCAUUGUUUUGGAGCAAGUGUUGGCUGGAGGGGACAAGAGGAGGAUCGGCGUGGCAUCUGGCACGUCGACAACGGCGGGUCUCAGCGGCAUGGAGCAGCGGGGGUCUCGCCGGUGGGCGUGUGUGAUGAUGGACGAGUGCAGGAUGGUGGCGCUGUCUGGCGUCGAUGGCAAAGAGACCUGGCACGGUUCAUGCAACAGUACAACUCUGAAGAUGGAUUGAUGGCAUGUGGCUGCGGCGGCCUCAUACCCGGCGGGCGUCCUGGUUGAGGAGUGCGCCGGACUGGUAGGUGCCCCAUACCCGGCAGGCGUCCUGGUUGGGACCUCAAGUCUUAGAUGUUUAGGUUUGGCUGCGAUGUCUGUUUGGUAUUAGGCCCAGACUAUCUGCGUCCCUUCAUCAGUUGGAUUGGUGUAGCGACAGCUGUUGCUUAGACGGUGCCUUUAGUAUUUCUGUUGUAUGGCUUUGUAAGAUUUUGUGAGAAUAAUGAUAAAGUGGCCGUAUGCAUCGCCCAGAUGCAGAGGCCGGGGGUCAUCCUCCUUUUCUAAAAAAAAAUGACGACUCAGUUUCCCAAAAAUAUUUCCUUUUCUUGGUGCUGGUUUAGUACAACUCACUCAUAUUACUUGUCGCGGACUAGUUUGAUUGAUUUCUACGUCCACACUCACUUAUUUUAAUUAAUCUGGUGUUGCAGCUACAUGGAGUCCUAUGCAGUUUACGCACACGCCUCCUAAAUUUCCAUACUCUUCUACGGUCGGCCGCGCCUUGCAGAUCUACUCUAUCAAAAUCGUCAACCUCAAUCCCAAUCUAGACUGGCCCCUCCAUGUCUACGGCGUGGUUGCCGCACGAGACUGCUUUGACCACAACCGCAACAUUCUCUUCCACGGGUCCGAGGCUAACUGCCAACGAGUCACCCAAGAUGUAUGUACAGUGUCAAUCUAAUUUUUGAUUAGUCUGUUCCUAAUAAGUAUAGUAGAAUAAUGAUGAUGCUGCUUGCAGGACCCUUUUCUGCACUUGAUUGGCCCGUCACGUGCAAUUGUGGCCCAAGAUCGUGUUAUGUUUGAAGUCCAACUAAAAAUGAAGUACGGAGCAGAGUCUAAAGAUACAGCAUUGUUCACUUCCAGCUAUAGUUACGCCUUUGACAGGCGGUGUUCCACCAUUCUGAUCUACAGCCGUUGUUGUAUGGCAGAGUUAAGCCUCGAGGGGCUUACUCAAGCAAUCCAGGCCACCAUUGUUGGUGUUCGCGUCGUCAAAGGAAAGUGGCCUUGUAAGUAUGGAUGCCGAGUUUCUUGCUCCUUGUCCCCUAUUGAAGAGGCUAUUGAUUCCACGCCGAUGGAAGUUGUGCUGCUUGAAUCUCGCGGCAAAGAAAUGCCUGCACGUUCAGAUGGUUACAUUCAUUUAUCAAGGAAUGUGGUUUCGGUGGAUAUACAUACUACAUUGAAAGUUUGCAUACAAGCUUACUCGAAUGCUGGUUCCACUCCUCUACAGGGUCAUGUGAACUUUCCUGUACAGGAAUGCCAAGUAAGCAAGCGGAAAUGCUUACUUGGCAACUCUAGGGUGGUGGAGAUCAUUGUUGCUUGGUCCCUCCUUCCCAUGGACGAGCUUGGCUAGUACCGGAGGGAUAUUGUACCCUGAUCGAUGUAGAGUGUUGUUGCAGAAUUUUGGUGAAGCAUAUUUUAGAGUGUAGAUUCACUCGUUUUGCUCUGUAUGUAGUCCGUUUGGAAUCUCUAGAAAAACUUAUAUUUAGGAACGGAGGGAGUACAGCUUUAGCAAAUUAACAAGUCUAAUAACUACUGUACUGAAGCAAAUUCUAAAAUUAACAAGUCUAGUAACUACUCUACUGAAGCAAAUUUACCCUAGCGCCCCCUAAUAUUAUGUAUUUGAUGCUAAUUAGCUAAAGAACAGUGCCAAAUUAGUGCUGAUUACCCACCACUAUCUACCCCUAACCCUAGUGGACGGGGCAGGACGCUUACCCUGGGCGGCAACUCUUGACGAAGCGAUGGCAGAAGCGGCGGUGGGUGGAGGAAGCGGCGGCGUGGACGGUAGACAACAUGUACGGCGGCGGCUCCAGUGGCCGAGGAUGCCUUCGGCCAGGGAAUCAUUCGGGCGGGGAGUUGGCAAGAGAGAGUGAGGCGAGGAAGAAACUGGGAAAUUGAAUAAGGUGAGGACUAAAUUUGGCAUGGUACGUGUCUUCAUUACACCCUUGUAGGGUGUGGUAAAAAAAUUGAAAGCGUUAUGGUAAAAAUUUGAUGUAACUCAUGUGCAAACCGGACACUCUCAAACGAGGUGUCAGGGUUUGGAACAUAAACCACCGCCUUCCACGUGCUACUCCAUUUAUUUAAAUCAUUUGGACUUCAAAUAUUUUUCAUUAGUAAUAAACACCAUACAAAACCUCAUGAUCAAAUUUGGGACUACUCUAGGAUUUAAUAAAUGUGUGACUGCCCGCCACUUCUAACUUUUGCAAAUUUUGUAUUUUUUGUCACGGGUUACUGAAAUAUUGCUGUGGCGGCCACAAGUUUUGCCCGCCACUGUUGCGGCACUAACUAAUACUUGCUUUGAGCAUCUGGGCAAAUUUGAAAGAGCUUCGCGGAUGGGUAUUUUUGCCCACCACUAUUGUCGUGAUUGCAGUGGCGGGGCAUUUUUGUACCCGCCAUUGCUACUUUUCCAAAAUAGAAGUGGCGGUUUGAGUGAAGCAUUUUGGUGCCCAGACUCAUCUACAUCCGGUCAAAAAAAAUCAAAACAAAUACUAGAAACUUUUUUUAAAAAAUCCAAUUUUUUUGCAUGGUAGAAAUUUUGUUGCGGAGGUCCAGUUAAAGAGAUGGUGAACAUGGAUGUGUGAGUAUGUGCAUCCUAUUUUACUUGUCGGUUCACUCUCCAUACUGAUCUCUGAACCCAAACUCUGGUUAAAAAACUAGAUUUUAUAAUCCUUACUUUCCAAUACAUAUCUAGGCAAACCUACUGUGUUUCUGACUAACAAGUUGCAUGGUUGGCGUGACGAAGCUAUUGUUAUGGCUUAUUGUAUGCCAACUUUUCUUUUGGAUUUAUUACUUUAGUCCAGUCUUGCAGAACAAAAACAGGUAAGGUGCAUAUAAUUUGAUUGACUUUAUUUGAUGUUUCAAUGAACCACGCAUCGCUCUAUGUUGUUAGAAUGAGCAGGAGCAACAACGGCAUGAGGAAACAUGGGUUUACCUUUUAAAGGAGGUCUCUGAAAUUUCAGAGGGUUGUGGGAUAUGAAUCGUUCCUGGAUAAGGAGAAGAGUGAGGAAGGAUCUGCAAGUGCGCCAUUGUGCCACUGUAUUUUAUUGAUGUAGGUGUUGAUUUUCGUUUGCAAGAUUCUAUAUUGGUGUUUAUCCUUUGCUCCCUAGAAUUAUAUAUUAAUUAUGAUUUGUUUCAGUUUCGUGCAGACUUUAUAUAUGAUAGAUUGAUAAGGAUGCCUCACAAGGGGGAAAGAACUGUAUAUUUGUGAGGUUCCUGAUCCACAUAGUCUAUUCCAUAUGGACCUAUGAAACCUGAUUUUUAAUUCACAAAGCCAGUUUUGGGGGAAAAACCCGGCAUAGCUGCGAGAAGAUGGCAUAUAUCCUGUUCACUUUGUUCUAAUAUCUGUGGUAAGUUGCCCAGAGUUUUCCUAUCUUGCAUUACUUAUGAAAGAGCUCUGCAUGUUGUGGCUAAUAUUUGGCACAAUAUUUAACAAAUUUCUGGUCUAUGUUUCUGCGUAAUAUGAGCACUCUAUUUUCCCUGUACAUCCAACUCCGCCCCCUUUGGUUACGGUUCUCUCCUACACUCACAGCUGAAACUUGACAAUUUGAACCCUUGAUUGAUGCAAGAGAUUAAAGAUACAACUCAUGGAAUCUGGCAAAUUAGAAAAGGUCAAAAGUCAUUUUUAUUUGAAAAGUGGACACUCAACUUUUUUAUUUAACUGACUCUGAACGUCCAAGUUAUUUGUUUUCUUCUACUAUGGACUUUAUUGCCGCAUUAUCAUAUAUUUUUGUACGAGAUGCUGGAUUAUCAUUUAUAUGCUUGCAUAUUAUAUUGGCGCUUAAUAAUGCCACUGACGACCAAGUGCUGCAUAUGUAUUUCUCUUUAUAGUAAAAUGUAACACAUACAACUAUGAUGAACACAUUCUUUUCAGUAUUUACAUUGACAUUAUUUUGUCACUGGGACAGUUUUAUUGUCACAUAUAAUGAUGCUUAUGAAUCUGUUCAUGUCUUUUCGAGUUUUAGAUGUGUAUAUACUGCCAACCCUUGCUUGUUCUUUCAGACUAGGCUUACCAGGCUACAACGAGGUCACCUCAGUUGAUUUCAGUGACCCAAAGUGGCGCUAGCUCGGGCGCAACAGCAAAAAGUUCCUGGAAAUUUGGAAAGAGGAGGGUGGCUUUCCAAGUAAUGCAUUGCGUACUUGAUUCUAAGGUACCUAGCAGAUUCACUUCAUUCUUUACUUGAUCUUUCAUCUCCUGGGAUAACCAUGGCCCAUGGGCAUGGAUGCUUGUGCCGCUGGUGUUGCACAAAUACCAAACGACAUAAUGUCGUGUGCAUAUCACUGCUCUUUAUGGGAAUGUGGUGGCAUGUGAGAGGAUAAGCAGGUGUUUGGCCAUUUACGAAUUGCCGGAACAUUGAGGGUGUCUAGCAUGAAACUUUUUGUUUAUAUACGAUCAUGUGCUAAAUGUUCAUUUCAGCACUCUCUCUUUAUAAAUGAAACUGUUUUGUACUCCCUCAGUCCCAAAACAAGUGUCUCAACUUUGCACUAAUUUUAGCACAAAGUUGUAUUAAACUUGAGACACUUAUUUGAGACGGAGGGAGUAUAUUGCAAUAACUAUACAAUUGCUCUGCCUCUACAACAACAUAUCACUGUUAUUUAUGACAAACUCAAGCUGAUAUGAAGAUUUUAAUAUGGCGAAUUUAGCUUAGGAAAAAACAUGGACGAAACUGUGAAAACGUGGUAAAGUUGGAACUUGGAGGUGAUCAAAUCAUAUGGUUUGGGCUGUAAGAGUGUAGACUAAGCAUUACAUAUUUCUCGGCUCUAGAUUUUGAGUUUGUAUUUUAAAAUUUCUCUGACGUGGCAUGAAGUUCAUAAUUUGUGCAGUUAAUAUAUAUCUUCUGUAUAUCCUUUUUCCUUUUGGUUUGGGGCCAGUAUAUGCAGUUUGAGAGUUAUUUAUUAUUAGAAAAAUAAGAUUGUGUUCUUCUAUUUCACCAUAGUUCAUGUUUACAUAAUUUGAGAUGUACUUAACUUAUAUUUCCUUUUUGACUGACUAAUUGUCAACGAAGGAGAUCAAAAUCCCUAUAGAAACUAAGGAGAUCAUACGAAUAUUUUGAAAUAAAAAUAUAAUAUGUGGAAAUACAAGAUUUUACAAAGCACUAGUAGAAGAAGGGCCUAUUGUCCCGGUUGGUAAGGGCCUUUAGUCCCGGUUGGUGAACCGGGACUAAAGGGUCGGUACUAAUGCCUCCCCCCUUUAGUCCCGGUUCAAUCCAGAACCGGGACUAAAGGCCGCGGCCACGUGGAGCCUUUAACAAUCCACCUUUAGUCCCGGUUUGUAACACCAACCGGGACUAAUGGAAAUUUUAUGAUUUUUUUUUGAAAUUUUUUUUGAAAUUUUUUAUUUUCAAAUUUCUGAAUUAUUUUAACCCCUCAUUAGUGAAUCUCUAAUCAGCACCCCUCAUCACUGCUCAAUUUAUCCUCUUCUCUAAUCACCCUCAUCAUUCCAAAUCACCUAACUUCCCGAACGGUCACCCAUCCUCCCACUCACCCAGCCUGAGCACGCUUAACUUUCGGGUUCUAUUCUCCCUCGUUUCCAAGUCUGCACUUGUUGUUUUCCUGACAAUAGUAAGAUGUUAAUCCUAUUAACCCUCAGGAAUUUUGCUUGAGCAUGAAUUGACACAUUUCACUGUUUGAGUUUCAAACUAUUGUUUUCAAAAACAAUAAUUAUUUAGAAAACAAUAGUUAUUUUGAAUAAUUAGUUUGACCAGGGUUUGACCAUAGUUUGACCACACUUUGACUACAGUUUGACCAGAUUUGACCAAAAUUCAAAAUAACUGAACAAAUUAGUUAUUAAUAUUCUAGAAUAAUUAGUUUGACCAUGGUUUGACCACAGUUUGUCAUUUUUCCGAUUUUUUCCACUCUAGAUAUUAAAAGCCCCGUAUCUUUUUUUCUGUUAGGUUUUUGAGGAUUUUGAAAAUGUUUAACGGGGUUCCAGUUGCUAAAAUUUGGAUGUAAUUUUUCGAGUAGAUGAUUUUUCAUAUAAAAAACUUUUUCAUCCGAGUUAGUAUGCAAAAGUUAUGCCCAUAUUUACAAAUUCCAGAGAGAUUUUGCAAAUAAAGUCGAAAUUCACAUUUGCAAAUUUCCCCAACAACUAGACCACAUAUCACAUGGGAAACUUAUUUUCUUUAAUUUUUUUGACAUUUCCAUCAUUUUCUUUUAUUUUUUUUAAAAUUGAAAAGGCGAUNNNNNNNNNNNNNNNNNNNNNNNNNNNNNNNNNNNNNNNNNNNNNNNNNNNNNNNNNNNNNNNNNNNNNNNNNNNNNNNNNNNNNNNNNNNNNNNNNNNNNNNNNNNNNNNNNNNNNNNNNNNNNNNNNNNNNNNNNNNNNNNNNNNNNNNNNNNNNNNNNNNNNNNNNNNNNNNNNNNNNNNNNNNNNNNNNNNNNNNNNNNNNNNNNNNNNNNNNNNNNNNNNNNNNNNNNNNNNNNNNNNNNNNNNNNNNNNNNNNNNNNNNNNNNNNNNNNNNNNNNNNNNNNNNNNNNNNNNNNNNNNNNNNNNNNNNNNNNNNNNNNNNNNNNNNNNNNNNNNNNNNNNNNNNNNNNNNNNNNNNNNNNNNNNNNNNNNNNNNNNNNNNNNNNNNNNNNNNNNAAAGGCGAUCCACGGGGGGGGGCGGGGGGGUAGAGUUUGAAAAUGGGACCUUUAGUACCGGUUCGUGGCACGAACCGGGACUAAAGGUCUCAACCCCAUUAGUCCCGGUUCGUGCCUCAAACCGGGACUAAAGGUCUACUCUUUAGUCCCGGUUUGAGGCAUGAACCGGGACUAAUGGGCAUCGCACCCUUUAGUCCCGGUUUGAGGCACAAACCGGGACUAAAGGGCACAUGUGAACCGGGACUAAUGCCUUAGCCGCACGAACCGGGAUAAAUGCUCGCAUUAGUCCCGGUUCUGGAUUGAACCGGGACUAAUGGGCUAAACAGGCCUGGACGAAAGCCCUGUUUUCUACUAGUGAAGGGAGCUCACACUUGAUGUCAAUAAUGAAAACGGAGGGGGUGAAGGGUAAAGACAAAGAUGGUUUAGUUCAUAAUCAGUUGCAUAUAUAAUAGAUAAAAGUAUGUUUUUGGUCCCUCAAGUUCCCACAAAGUAUAGACUUGGUCCCUCAAGAUUUUUUGGUAUGCAUUUGGUCCCUCAAGUAUCAAAACUGGAUAAGUUUGGUCAUAAACCAGAUUUUGAGCAUGUUGACCGGGUUUGACCGCCACAAAACCGCCUGAUAAACCGUAAAUAUGAAAAAGAACUUCGAAAAAAUGACAAAAUUUUGCUAGAGCCCGUCCAAUGUCAUUUCAUGACAAAAUUUUGGUCGCACCUUGCGCACGUAAGCAUAUUGGACCCCAAAAAUUUUCAGAAUUUUUUGAUUAUUUUUGAAUUUACUAUUCAUCAGCCAGUUUUUUUUCUUUUGCCACGAGCUCCUCGAGUGCCGAAAGAGCCCGAAUUUUUGUUUGCAUAUUCCGCAUGUAAGCAUAUUUGACCCCAAAAAAUUUAAGGUUUGUUUUAUGUUCUUUUUUCGAAUUUACUGUUCAUCAGGCGGAUUUGUGGCGGUCAAAACCGGUCAACAUGCUCAAAAUCUGGUUUAGGACCAAACUUAUCCGGUUUUAAGAUUUGAGGGACCAAAUGUAUACCAAAAAAAUCUUGAGGGACCAACUCUAUACUUUGUGGGAACUUGAGGGACCAAAAACAUACUUUUCUCUAUAUAAUAUACUAUAGUAACCUAUAUUCAUGCACUUUUCAGAUGAAUAAUUAAUUGAACUUAGUUUGAGCUCUUAUGUUGUUGAAUGAGUUUGAGAGAGAGAGAGAGAGAGAGAGAGAGAGGACGGGUAGGGAGAGAGAUUUCUUUCGUGGUACUGGGGGUAGCGUGUUCUGAAUUUACCUGUUGCUCAGCUAUGUUUCAGUAUGUGAAGGGUUAUCCUUAGUAAAUUAUGCUUUUAGCAUUUUAUAUUUAGUUCUUCCACAUCUCAUUGUUGCCCUGUUUGUUAGACUCUUAGGGGCAAUAAAGGGUAUCAAUACCACACCUGCGGCGCAAAAAGAAGCAGGUGAUAGGGAAUACUUGUGACUCUAUGAAUAAAAAACAUAUCCUGUCAAGUUCAAUACACAUUAUUGAUUAGAACAUUGAGUGUGUAUAAAAUUGUUUUUGUCCCGUGGCAACGCUGGUUGUAUCCAUGCAGUAUUAACCAAAUAUCUAUAUUUCAUAUGGUUUUCCCAUUUUGAAUGUUAUCACCUUAAGUUCUCGUAUUUAGCAUGCAAUUGCACAUAUCUUCAAGGAGUCAUGAUUCGCUCUCUUUUUAACAUCUACAACUAAGAGGAUGUGGCCUCGUAUUGACGCGUAUUCACGCGUGCCGCGCACUGUGCUCCGGCAGUGAGUGGCCUCGGGUGCCGCCGGUUGCGCCGCACGCCCGAGGGCGCUGCAGACCGCCGGCUUCCGCACCAUGCCUGAGGGCGUUGUAUCCAUAGCCGCGCAUGCCGGAGAGCACCGGCGCCGUGCAGUUCGAGUGACGCAUCCUUGCUGGCGCCUUGUCGAGCUGGAGGAUGUCGUCGUUGUGCAUCGGCCGUUGGUCGCCUUUGUUGUACCGCACCGCGGUUGCUGCAUGCGCUGCCUUUCUGCGAGGAUGCAGGCCGAGAGCCACGUCGAGCGCCAUUCUUCCUGGAUAAAAGGCCGCAUCAUGGAGGCCCGGGUUGAGGUCCGUCGCGAGACGUGGGGAUCCGCACCGGGAGGAGUCAGACUGGCGGCGCCGCAUGCCUGAGGGCACUGCACCGCCGGGUAUAACGCGAUGCAUCAAGGAGGGCAGAAAUCUUGCUGCCUCUCGGGCAUCAAGGACGUCGCCGGUGACGGAUUGAUGUGCACGGGCGCCGUUGGCGCUGCCUAGUGGCCUAAUCGCUCCCUCUAGGUUAGGGCAAAGGGCUGAUAACGUGUUUAGAGAGAAACAAGAGAGAGGGAGCAAAUGAUGGAACAGUUGUUUCAUUGAGUGAACAUUGGGGUAUUUAUACCCUCGUUACGAGGCGGUUACAAAGGAGGCGGUUGCCAAACAUGGCCACCGACAUUAGCAUGGAUUAAUAAUUAAUUAAUCUAAUUAAUUAAUUCCUAACAGUCAGAAGAAGUAAAAUGCCACACCAGUUGAACGCCAACAUAUCUCUACUAUUAAAGGGGGAUCAAACGUCGUGAUGGUUCGACCUCCUUCGAUCCCCACCUCGCUUCGUGCGAUGAGGCACGUCCGCAGAAAAAAAAUCACAGAAAAACCUCGCACUCCAAAGCAGGGAAAACCAGAAGAUAAAAACCCUGCACAUCCUCCACUUCUCCCACGAUCUCCAUCGGCGGAUCUCUCUCCUGAACCACCCGGCCAGCAACCCUGCACUCUCCCUCUCAUGCGCCGCGUAUCUCAUCUAGGCCUUGACCUCAACUCGCCCUCUCCGCUGCUCGUGGCUCCUGUGGAUGGCUGCGGGCGUCAGGUGACCGGAAGAGCGCCCUUGGAGGUGGUGGUGGUAUUGGCCUUGUCCUACGAGGAUAGGUCUUUCUUGGAUGAUGGCCUCAAUGACGGCCCAGCACAUGGUGUCGUGGCCUCGCAGAAGUGUGCGUCAACGGCAUCGGCGACUCGGGGUAGCCCGGCCACACAACCGUUGAUCAGGGUGGCGACGACGGCUUCAUCAUGGGACAUCGACCGAUCUAGCAAUGAGAGCAUGGGCCGUCGCCGGUGGUGAGGACAAGCUCGAAAGAGCCACUGUGACUCUGGGAGGACCUUGUUCAGCAACACUCCUCUGACAACGGCAGGUUGGAGAUAUUUGAGAUGUGUCCUCUCUGCCUCCAAGAAAGAUUUUGCGAUGUGCUUCUUGGUAAUUCCCUCUCCCGCCUCCAAGAAAGAUUUUGUGAUGUGCUUCUUGGUGAUUCCGUAUGUGAUUGUUUGUUUUGCAAUAUAUUCGGCACUGUUAUUUGUUCAUGUUGUUAGUUGCCAAUUUGAGACGUGGGCAAAAGAACAGCGGUGAUGCACGACCCUACAGCGCCACACGUUGUCGGUCAAGUAGGCGCAACAGUGGCUGCUCCACCAUGGAAUCAAAUGAGUGACGUCUUUUGCCCCUUUCCAAAUUCUGGUAUCUUCCACUUCUAUAGAAUCAGUAAGGGUGCACCAGCUGUUCUUACUUGUUACUCAAAUGUUUGAAUCAGUAAGGGUGCAACAGCUGUUCUAUACAUUAGUUCAUCCAUCUAAUAUAGAACCAAUACUUUAUAAUCCCCCUCAUAUCCCACUCUUUUGAUCACACAAUCAGUAGAAAUUCUCUUCGGACGUAUCUUGCCAAACUGACCUCAUAAAUUCCAGACAAAAACUGUACUGGCCACAAUUGUAAAUUCGGAAAACGAGAAGAAAAUAAACAUGCUGAUACGGCAGUUAGGACAGAGAGUUAUGUUGGGGAACGUAGUAAUUUUAAAAAAAUUCCUGCGCACACGCAAGAUCAUGGUGAUGCAUAGCAACGAGGGGAGAGUGUGAUCUACGUACCCUUGUAGACCGACAGUGGAAGCGUUAUGACAACGCGGUUGAUGUAGUCGUACGUCUUCACGGCCCGACCGAUCAAGCACCGAAACUACGGCACCUCCGAGCUUUAGCACACGUUAAGCUCGAUGACGAUCCCCGGACUCUGAUCCACCAAAGUGUCGGGGAAGAGUUCCGUCAGCACGACGGCGUGGUGACGAUCUUGAUGUACUACUGUCGUAGGGCUUCGCCUAAGCACCGCUACAAUGUUAUCGAGGACUAUGGUGGCAGGGGGCGCCGCACACGGCUAAGAAUAUGAUCACGUGGAUCAACUUGUGUGUUUCUGGGGUGCCCCUGCCUCCGUAUAUAAAGGUUCAAGAGAGGAGGAGGUCGGCCGGCCCCUAUGGCGCGCCAAGGAGGAGUCCUCCUCCUAGUAGGAGUAGGACUCCUACUAGGAGGGGGAAAGAAGUGGGGAGGGAGAAGGAAAGGGGGGCGCCGCCCCCCCUCUCCUAGUCCAAUUCGGACCAGGGGGGGAGGAGGCGCGUGGCCCACCUUUGGCUGCCCCUCUCUCUCUCCACUAAGGCCCAUAUGGCCCAUUACUUCUCCCGGGGGGGUUCCGGUAACCCUCCGGCUUUCCGGUUUUCUCCGAAAUCACCCGGAACACUUUCGGUGUCCGAAUAUAGCCGUCCAAUAUAUCAAUCUUUAUGUCUCGACCAUUUCGAGACUCCUCGUCAUGUCCGUGAUCACAUCCGGGACUCCGAACAACCUUCGGUACAUCAAAACGUAUAAACUCAUAAUAUAACUGUCAUCGAAACCUUAAGCGUGCGGACCCUACGGAUUCGAGAACAAUGUAGACAUGACCGAGACAUGUCUCCGGUCAAUAACCAAUAGCGGGACCUGGAUGCCCAUAUUGGCUCCUACAUAUUCUACGAAGAUCUUUAUCGGUCAGACCGCAUAACAAUAUACGUUGUUCCCUUUCUCAUCGGUAUGUUACUUGCCCGAGAUUCAAUCGUCGGUAUCCAAUACCUAGUUCAAUCUCGUUACCGGCAAGUCUCUUUACUCGUUCUGUAAUACAUCAUCUUGCAACUAACUCAUUAGUUGCAUUGCUUGCAAGGCUUAAGUGAUGUGCAUUACCGAGAGGGCCCAGAGAUACCUCUCAGACGAUCAGAGUGACAAAUCCUAAUCUCGAAAUACGUCAACCCAACAUGUACCUUUGGAGACACCUGUAGAGUACCUUUAUAAUCACCCAGUUACGUUGUGACGUUUGGUAGCACACAAAGUGUUCCUCCGGCACACGGGAGUUACAUAAUCUCAUAGUCAUAGGAACAUGUAUAAGUCAUGAAGAAAGCAAUAGCAAAAUACUAAACGAUCGGAUGCUAAGCUAAUGGAAUGGGUCAUGUCAAUCAUAUCAUUCAACUAAUGAUGUGAUCCCGUUAAUCAAAUGACAACUCUUUGUCAAUGGUUAGGAAACAUAACCAUCUUUGAUUAACGAGCUAGUCAAGUAGAGGCAUACUAGUGACACUUUGUUUGUCUAUGUAUUCACACAUGUAUUAUGUUUCCGUUUAAUACAAUUCUAUCAUGAAUAAUAAACUUUUAUCAUGAUAUAAGGCAAUAAAUAAUAACUUUAUUAUUGCCUCUAGGGCAUAUUUCCUUCAGUCUCCCACUUGCACUAGAGUCAAUAAUCUAGAUUACACAGUAAUGAUUCUAACACCCAUGGAGCUUUGGUGCUGAUCAUGUUUUGCUCGUGGAAGAGGCUUAGUCAACGGGUCUGCUACAUUCAGCUCCGUAUGUAUCUUGCAAAUCUCUAUGUCUCCCACCUGGACUAGAUCCCGGAUGGAAUUGAAGCGUCUCUUGAUGUGCUUGGUUCUCUUGUGAAAUCUGGAUUCCUUUGCCAAGGCAAUUGCACCAGUAUUGUCACAAAAUAUUUUCAUUGGACCCGAUGCACUAGGUAUGACACCUAGAUCGGAUAUGAACUCUUUCAUCCAGACUCCUUCGUUUGCUGCUUCCGAAGCAGCUAUGUACUCUGCUUCAAAUGUAGAUCCCGCCACGACGCUUUGUUUUGAACUGCACCAACUGACAGCUCCACUGUUUAAUGUAAACACGUAUCCGGUUUGUGAUUUAGAAUUGUCCGGAUCAGUGUCAAAGCUUGCAUCAACGUAACCGUUUACAAUCCUCCAUAUACGUGAAACAUAUCCUUAGUCACCUCCAUAUACGUGAAACAUAUCCUUAGUCCUUUUCAGGUAUUUCAGGAUGUUCUUGACCGCUGUCCAGUGAUCCACUCCUAGAUUACUUUGGUACCUCCCUGCUAAACUUAUAGCAAGGCACACAUCAGGUCUGGUACACAGCAUUGCAUAUAUGAUAGAGCCUAUGGCUGAAGCAUAGGGAACAUCUUUCAUUUUCUCUCUAUCUUCUGCAGUGGUCGGGCAUUGAGUCUGACUCAACUUCACACCUUGUAACACAGGCAAGAACCCUUUCUUUGCUUGAUCCAUUUCGAACUUCUUCAAAAUCUUGUCAAGGUAUGUGCUUUGUGAAAGUCCAAUUAAGUGUCUUGAUCUAUCUCUAUAGAUCUUUAUGCCUAAUAUGUAAGCAGCUUCACCGAGGUCUCUCAUUGAAAAACUCUUAUUCAAGUAUCCCUUUAUGCUAUCCAGAAAUUCUAUAUCAUUUCCAAUCAGUAAUAUGUCAUCUACAUAUAAUAUCAGAAAUGCUACAGAGCUCCCACUCACUUUCUUGUAAAUACAGGCUUCUCCGAAAGUCUGUAUAAAACCAAAUGCUUUGAUCACACUAUCAAAGCGUUUAUUCCAACUCCGAGAGGCUUGCACCAGUCCAUAAAUGGAUCGCUGGAGCUUGCACACUUUGUUAGCUCCUUUUGGAUUGAAAAAACCUUCCGGUUGCAUCAUAUACAACUCUUCUUCCAGAAAUCCAUUCAGGAAUGCAGUUUUGACAUCCAUCUGCCAAAUUUCAUAAUCAUAAAAUGCGGCAAUUGCUAACAUGAUUCGGGCAGACUUAAGCAUCGCUACGGGUGAGAAGGUCUCAUCGUAGUCAACCCCUUGAACUUGUUGAAAACCUUUUGCGACAAGUCGAGCUUUGUAGACAGUAAUAUUACCGUCAGCGUCAGUCUUCUUCUUGAAAAUCCAUUUAUUCUCAAUUGCUUGUCGAUCAUCGGGCAAGUCAACCAAAGUCCAUACUUUGUUCUCAUACAUGGAUCCCAUCUCAGAUUUCAUGGCUUCAAGCCAUUUUGCGGAAUCUGGGCUCACCAUCGCUUCUUCAUAGUUCGUAGGUUCAUCAUGAUUUAGCAGCAUGAUUUCCAGAACAGGAUUACCAUACCACUCUGGCGCGGAUCUCACUCUGGUUGAUCUACGAGGUUCAGUAGUAUCUUGUCCUAAAGUUUCAUGAUCAUUAUCAUUAGCUUCCUCACUAAUUGGUGUAGGUGUCGCAGAAACAGUUUUCUGUGAUGUACUACUUUCCAAUAAGGGAGCAGGUACAGUUACUUAAUCAAGUUCUACUUUCCUCCCACUCACAUCUUUCGAGAGAAACUCCUUCUCCAGAAAGUUUCCGAAUUUAGCAACAAAAGUCUUGCCUUCGGAUCUGUGAUAGAAGGUGUAUCCAAUAGUUUCCUUUGGAUAUCCUAUGAAGACACAUUUCUCCGAUUUGGAUUCGAGCUUAUCAGGUUGAAGCUUUUUCACAUAAGCAUCGCAGCCCCAAACUUUCAGAAACGACAACUUUGGUUUCUUGCCAAACCAUAGUUCAUAAGGUGUCGUCUCAACGGAUUUCGAUGGUGCCCUAUUUAACGUGAAUGCGGCCGUCUCUAAAGCAUAACCCCAAAACGAUAGCGGUAAAUUAGUAAGAGACAUCAUAGAUCGUACCAUAUCUAGUAAAGUACGAUUACGACAUUUAGACACACCAUUACGCUGUGGUGUUCCGGGUGGCGUGAGUUGCGAAACUAUUCCGCAUUGCUUCAAAUGUACACCAAACUCGUAACUCAAAUAUUCUCCUCCACGAUCAGAUCGUAGAAACUUUAUUUUCUUGUUACGAUGAUUUUCAACUUCACUCUGAAAUUCUUUGAACUUUUCAAAUGUUUUAGAUUUAUGUUUCAUUAAGUAGAUAUACCCAUAUCUGCUUAAGUCAUCUGUGAAGGUGAGAAAAUAACAAUAUCCGCCACGAGCCUCAAUAUUCAUUGGACCACAUACAUCUGUAUGUAUGAUUUCCAACAAAUCUGUUGCUCUCUCCAUUGUACCGGAGAAGGGUGUUUUACUCAUCUUGCCCAUGAGGCAUGGUUCGCAAGUACCAAGUGAUUCAUAAUCAAGUGGCUCCAAAAGUCCAUCAGUAUGGAGUUUCUUCAUGCGCUUUACACCGAUAUGACCUAAACGGCAGUGCCACAAGUAAGUUGCACCAUCAUUAUCAACUCUGCAUCUUUUGGUUUCAACAUUAUGAAUAUGUGUAUCACUACUAUCGAGAUUUAAUAAGAAUAGACCACUCUUCAAGGGUGCAUGACCAUAAAAGUUAUUACUCAUAUAAAUAGAACAACCAUUAUUCUCUGAUUUAAAUGAAUAACCGUCUCACAUUAAACAAGAUCCAGAUAUAAUGUUCAUGCUCAACGCUGGCACUAAAUAACAAUUAUUUAGGUCUAAUACUAAUCCCGAAGGUAGAUGUAGAGGUUGCGUGCCGACCGCGAUCACAUCGACUUUGGAACCGUUUCCCACGCGCAUCGUCACCUCGUCCUUAGCCAAUCUUCGCUUAAUCCGUAGUCCCUGUUUCGAGUUGCAAAUAUUAGCAACAGAACCAGUAUCAAAUACCCAGGUGCUACUACGAGCAUUAGUAAGGUACACAUCAAUAACAUGUAUAUCACAUAUACCUUUGUUCACCUUGCCAUCCUUCUUAUCCGCCAAAUACUUGGGGCAGUUCCACUUCCAGUGACCAGUCUGCUUGCAGUAGAAGCAGUCAGUUUCAGGCUUAGGUCCAGACUUGGGUUUCUUCUCUUGAGCAGCAACUUGCUUGCCAUUUUUCUUGAAGUUCCCCUUCUUCUUCCCUUUGCCCUUUUUCUUGAAACUAGUGGUCUUGUUGAUCAUCAAUACUUGAUGCUCCUUUUUGAUUUCUACCUCCGCAGCUUUCAGCAUUGCGAAGAGCUCGGGAAUAGUCUUGUUCAUCCCUUGCAUAUUAUAGUUCAUCACGAAGCUCUUGUAGCUUGGUGGCAGUGAUUGGAGAAUUCUGUGAAUGACGCAAUCAUCUGGAAGAUUAACUCCCAUCUGAAUCAAGUGAUUAUUAUACCCAGACAUUUUGAGUAUAUGCUCACUAACAGAACUGUUCUCCUCCAUCUUGCAGCUAUAGAACUUAUUGGAGACUUCAUAUCUCUCAAUUCGGGCAUUUGCUUGAAAUAUUAACUUCAACUCCUGGAACAUCUCAUAUGCUCCAUGACGUUCAAAACGUCGUUGAAGUCCCGGCUCUAAGCCGUAAAGCAUGGCACACUGAACUAUCGAGUAGUCAUCAGCUUUGCUCUGCCAGACGUUCAUAACAUCUGGUGUUGCUCCAGCAGCAGGCCUGGCACCCAGCGGUGCUUCCAGGACGUAAUUCUUCUGUGCAGCAAUGAGGAUAAUCCUCAAGUUACGGACCCAGUCCGUGUAAUUGCUACCAUCAUCUUUCAACUUUGCUUUCUCAAGGAACGCAUUAAAAUUCAACGGAACAACAACACGGGCCAUCUAUCUACAAUCAAACAUACAUAAGCAAGAUACUAUCAGGUACUAAGUUCAUGAUAAAUUUAAGUUCAAUUAAUCAAAUUACUUAAGAACUCCCACUUAGAUAGACAUCUCUCUAAUCCUCUAAGUGAUCACGCGAUCCAAAUCAACUAAACCAUGUCCGAUCAUCACGUGAGAUGGAGUAGUUUCAUUGGUGAACAUCACUAUGUUGAUCAUAUCUACUAUAUGAUUCACGCUCGACCUUUCGGUCUCCGUGUUCCGAGGCCAUAUCUGUAUAUGCUUGGCUCGUCAAGUAUAACCUGAGUAUUCCGCGUGUGCAACUGUUUUGCACCCGUUGUAUUUGAACGUAGAGCCUAUCACACCCAAUCAUCACGUGGUGUCUCAGCACGAAGAACUUUCGCAACGGUGCAUACUCAGGGAGAAAACUUCUUGAUAAUUUUAGUGAGAGAUCAUCUUAUAAUGCUACCGUCAAUCAAAGCAAGAUAAGAUGCAUAAAAGAUAAACAUCACAUGCAAUCAAUAUAAGUGAUAUGAUAUGGCCAUCAUCAUCUUGUGCCUGUGAUCUCCAUCUCCGAAGCACCGUCAUGAUCACCAUCAUCACCGGCACGACACUUUGAUCUCCAUCGUAGCAUCGUUGUCGUCUCGCCAAUAUUAUGCUUCCACGACUAUCGCUACCGUUUAGUGAUAAAGUAAAGCAUUACUGCGCGAUUGCAUUGCAUACAAUAAAGCGACAACCAUAUGGCUCCUGCCAGUUGUCGAUAACUCGGUUACAAAACACGAUCAUCUCAUACAAUAAAAUCAUCAUCAUGUCUUGACCAUAUCACAUCACAACAUGCCCUGCAAAAACAAGUUAGACGUCCUCUACUUUGUUGUUGCAAUUUUUACGUGGCUACUAUGGGCUUAAGCAAGAACCAAUCUUACCUACGCAUCAAAACCACAACGAUAGUUUGUCAAGUUGGUGCUGUUUUAACCUUCGCAAGGACCGGGUGUAGCCACACUCGGUUCAACUAAAGUUGGAGAAACUGUCACCCGCAAGCCACCUAUGUGCAAAGCACGUUGGGAGAACCGGUCUCGCGUAAGCGUACGCGUAAUGUCGGUCCGGGCCGCUUCGUCCAACAAUACCGCCGAACCAAAGUAUGACAUGCUGGUAAGCAGUAUGACUUAUAUCGCCCACAACUCACUUGUGUUCUACUCGUGCAUAUAACAUCAACACAUAAAACCUAGGCUCGGAUGCCACUGUUGGGGAACGUAGUAAUUUCAAAAAAUUUCCUACGCACACGCAAGAUCAUGGUGAUGCAUAGCAACGAGGGGAGAGUGUGAUCUACGUACCCUUGUAGACCGACAGCGGAAGCGUUAUGACAACGCGGUUGAUGUAGUCAUACGUCUUCAUGGCUCGACCGAUCAAGCACCGAAACUACGGCACCUCUGAGUUUUAGCACACGUUCAGCUCGAUGACGAUCCACGGACUCCGAUCCAGCAAAGUGUUGGGGAAGAGUUCCGUCAGCACGACGGCGUGGUGACGAUCUUGAUGUACUACUGUCGCAGGGCUUCGCCUAAGCACCGCUACAAUAUUAUCGAGGACUAUGGUGGCAGGGGGCACCGCACACGGCUAAGAAUAUGAUCACGUGGAUCAACUUGUGUGUUUCUGGGGUGCCCCUGCCUCAGUGUAUAAAGGUUCAAGAGAGGAGGAGGCCGGUCGGACCCUAUGGCGCGCCAAGGAGGAGUCCUCCUCCUAGUAGGAGUAGCCGCCCCCCUCUCCUAGUCCAAUUCGGACCAGGGGGGGAGGAGGCGCGCGGCCCACCUUUGGCUGCCCCUCUCUCUCCACUAAGGCCCAUAUGGCCAUUACUUCUCCCUGCGGGGUUCCGGUAACCCUCCGGCUUUCCGGUUUUCUCCGAAAUCACCCGGAACACUUCCGGUGUCUGAAUAUAGCUGUCCAAUAUAUCAAUCUUUAUGUCUCGACCAUUUCGAGACUCCUCGUCAUGUCCGUGAUCACAUCCGGGACUCCGAACAACCUUCGGUACAUCAAAACGUAUAAACUCAUAAUAUAAUUGUCAUCGAAACCUUAAGCGUGCAGACCCUACGGGUUCGAGAACAAUGUAGACAUGACCGAGAAAUGUCUCCGGUCAAUAACCAAUAGCGGGACCUGGAUGCCCAUAUUGGCUCCUACAUAUUCUAUGAAGAUCUUUAUCGGUCAGACCGCAUAACAACAUACGUUGUUCCCUUUGUCAUCGGUAUGUUACUUGCCCGAGAUUCGAUCGUCGGUAUCCAAUACCUAGUUCAAUCACGUUACCGGCAAGUCUCUUUACUCGUUCUGGAAUACAUCAUCUCGCAACUAACUCAUUAGUUGCAUUGCUUGCAAGGCUUAAGUGAUGUGCAUUACCGAGAGGGCCCAGAGAUACCUCUCAGAUGAUCGGAGUGACAAAUCCUAAUCUCGAAAUACGUCAACCCAACAUGUACCUUUGGAGACACCUGUAGAGUACCUUUAUAAUCACCCAGUUACGUUGUGACGUUUGGUAAUACACAAAGUGUUCCUCCGGCACACGGGAGUUACAUAAUCUCAUAGUCAUAGGAACAUGUAUAAGUCAUGAAGAAAGCAAUAGCAACAUACUAAACGAUCGAAUGCUAAGCUAAUGGAAUGGGUCAUGUCAAUCAGAUCAUUCAACUAAUGAUGCGAUCCCGUUAAUCAAAUGACAACUCUUUGUCAAUGGUUAGGAAACAUAACAAUCUUUGAUUAACGAGCUAGUCAAGUAGAGACAUACUAGUGACACUUUGUUUGUCUAUGUAUUCACACAUGUAUUAUGUUUCCGGUUAAUACAAUUCUAGCAUGAAUAAUAAACUUUUAUCAUGAUAUAAGGAAAUAAAUAAUAACUUUAUUAUUGCCCCUAGGGCCUAUUUCCUUCAAGUUAUGCACAUGUUUCUUUACUUUUCGAGUACUUUUGCACCAUCAAUUAUCAGUUGUGAUCUCUCAGUUCUCUAAUGAAGUUGCUUGUUGAUUUUGGUUGUCGUUUCCAGUUUGCCCUGUCACCUUGCUAAUAAUGCAGUCAACUUUAUUUCGCUUUAAGCAUCAUCGAUCACUCAAUCCCCUUCUCUACUUUCAAUGUACAAGAGAGCUAGAGCGAUGAAAAUUCCCACAUUUUUUUUAUUUAUUCAUGUCUGUUUUUCUUGCUGUCAUUGUUAUGACAAUGACUAACAAUGACAGACUAAGAUGUGGUGAUGUAUUUUUUCAUCCAUGUUAACCACUAAUCCACAACUUAGCUAGAUAGAGGCAACCUCUGAAUCUUAUUUGUAGUUCUUUUAGGAUAAGUAUUUAAAUUGACAUGAAAAACACUAAUACCAUGGAAAAUUCGAAUUACCCCUGGCUUCAAUUGUGGUGCUCACCGUAUAUUGUUAUAUUUUUUCACAAGCAAUUCAUUGUCGUACAUAUUGUUCAUCAAUAAUCAAAAUUUGCAUAAAACAUGAGCCUGAUCGCGCCCAGCCUCACAGCCUCCAGAUAGGUGAACCGGGUCCCAUAGUGAGGUCAUUCUUCUCUAAUCUACUCUACUAAUUUUUUUCGGCGUAUAUAUAGCUCCUCUUCCUGUAUUUCCCUUUAUGGCAAUGUAUUCAUCUGUGUCUCUUGCCAUGAACCUAUCUGGCAAUCUUUGAUUAGUUAUUAGAUUUUCUACUAUCCUGCAUAAACCCUCUUUGAGAUGUUCUCCUGCAAUGACAAAUUACUAGGUUGUGCUCAUUUUAGAGUACAAGGGACUUUGUGCACUAAUGUGCUUCCUUUGUUUCCUGUGGGGUUGUAAGACAAAACAUGUAGCAAAUGCUGAUAAAUAAUAAUGUUGGUGUAAUUCCUUUCUCUGAAACAUAAAAAUGUACUUGUCAGGUUCUACAAACAAUAAAGCUUCUUAUUUUUUGCUAUACAAGCGCUUAUGUACCUUAUUCUUUUAUUAGCAUACAAAGGGAAAGCAUAAGGGAGAAGGGGAGUCCAUAAAGAAAGAACAAGAAGGUGGCCCUGAAAAAUAAGCAGCUGGAGAACACCAAGCUUAUUGUGGAAUUUCUAAACAAAAUGUUGUCAACACCUGAGAAAAUUGCUGGUGAGAACAUUAGGCAUGUUCUCCUUAUAGUUUUUAAAUGAACUUGUAUGUUUAUCUCUUUUUUCAUUCGAAUACUAGAUAAUAGAUAUUUGAGAAGGCUUAGUGCAAUUAAUCCCUUUAUCUUGCACUACUUUACACAUGGAUUCCAUUAUCGGAACAGGAGAUCCUAGCAAUAGAAAAUCAAGGGUGUGUACUAUAUUGUUGGCCAAAGGUUAAACAUAUGUACCUAUACUGAUUUCUUUAUAUUUAUAGCAUUUGAGAUGGUUGUCUUGCCAAUGCUACAAAUCGGUAUUUCUACUUCUAGAGAAAUACAUAUUAGUUUUUCAAAUAACUGCUAUUGACCUUACAUGAUUCUUUGAAGUCAUGCUAAUUUGGAUUUGUUAGGACAUACACUUGAACAUUUAUAGUAAAUAUCUGACUUUGUUUGUGGUGAUAUAAACCAGCAUGGUUAAUGCUACUGUUCCUUUGCAUAGGCCGAAUUAGUCAUGGCUAUUAUAGACUUCCCAUUCUUAUAGCGGUACGCUAAAUGAAUGUGGUUACUCACAGUUUCAGAGGAGUUUGUCAAUAAUUUGGCCAUGCAGUGUCGAAGUAUUUUCCCAUGAGGUUACACCUUCAAGGGUGACACUGAGGAAGCAUUCAGAUGCAUAGAUAUAAGAGAAACUCAACCGGUACAUAGAAGUUGUGUUGCAGACAACGAGGCCAUGGGGUUAAAUUUGUCUCCUCAAGUUGAGCAAGAAGCAUGGUGUCAUUAACGAGAUCACAACAUUUCUUCAAAGUUUAUUCAAUGGUGUGUCAUAUUUGUUUCUUGUUAAGUUUUCUGUAUAUUUCUAUAUUUAUUUGUACAAAGUGGAAGCUCUGGAUGAACUCCAUAUACUCUUCCAACUUUAUUCAAUAAGAUCAAAGUAUGCAAUAUGUUUUUGAAUAGUACAUGUACUAUAUAUUUUUGAAUAGUAUAUAUAUGUUCAAAUAGAAUUGAAAUUCUUUCCUUAUAGAGGUAAAAAUCUUUUGGAUGGUAAAAAUAUUCCAAAGCAAUAUCAUUGUCAUUGGAUUCACUAAGUCAUGCAUUAUCCACAGUGACAGAGGCGUAGAAAAUGUUGUUAUGAGAUUACAAGAGUGUAAGUUGUGCUAUGGUGAUGGAUGUUUCGUGGUGUGAAGCCAUGAGGUCUACAUGCCAUCAGUAGGUUGCUAGCACUGCCGAAAUUUGUUGUUCUGUGGCAACGCACGGGUAUUCAGCUAGUAGAAAUAGUGUGUUUCUCCUGGCCAACCUGGCCAUCAUCCCCCUGGCCGCUGUGGUUCGAAAUUGCUCUGCUAUUUUGUUUUUUGAGGGGGAAAACUGCGCUGCUCUGCGAGCAGUUUCGGAAAACCAGCAUGACCCCCGCAGCUGGGCCAGAGGCCCAGGUAACUAUUUUCUUUAAAACAUAUCAUGAACGAAAAAAAAUAUUCUUAUAGAGAAAAAGCGCAGAAAAGAUACAAAUGAAAAAUGCCAUGCAGUAAUUUAAAAACAAAUCAUGCUAUGCUUUAUAAAAAUGACAAGCUCUAGUUUUAUAAAUUUGCCAUGGUGUUUUUUACAAAAACUAGUAUGAAAAAUCAAGGCAGCGGGUAUGCAAGUUUGCAUGUCAAAAAUCAUUUCAAAGUAUCAUGGCAACAUAUGUUUCAUUUUCAUGGCGAAAACUGUGUUGAAAUCACAAAUUGUAGAUGACUAUUAUACGAAACACAAAGAAACUUGUGGCUAAUAUUAAAACUGCCACAAUCCAAUUAAUAAAUUUUCCUAACAUGGCCUAAAUAAUAAAAUUGCCAUACUACCUAUAAUGAAAAGUUUACACAUGGAAAUUUAGUAAAAAAAUAAAAUGGAAAAAAUUUCACUGAAUACGCAAGGCAACUUUUUGAAAAAUGGUAAUGGGUACAUGAUUUGUUUUUGAAACGGAUGGCAAAUGUAGAAAUAAAAAAAAUCACUAAGUACAAGGCAACUUUUUCGUGGUCCAUAAGGUGUUUAUGCAAAAGAAAUUGCCAUGUUCUAAUUAACGAAAUUGCCAUAUUAUAAAUAAUAAAAUUUCCAUGAUACAUACAAUUAAACUACCAUGGUCUAUAAACCAAAAAAAAUCCAUGGCAAAAAACUGUAACGGGUGCAUGGCAAAAGUUAUAGGAUUUUUCCCAUGGCAAAAAUUAUGUUUUUGAAAUGGCAAAAUUUGUAUUGGUGGCAGAGCGAAAAGUAAAAACUGUGUUGGUUACAUGGCAAAAAAUUGGAUUCGGCGCAUUCAAAAAUAGUUUAAAAGAUUUUGCCAUGGUUAACAAAUUAUGAAUUGCAAAUGAAAAUUUUGGCAUGGUAGUAGUAGAAAAAUGGAAAUGGAAGAUUUGUCAUCUAGUCGAUGCAUCUUCUAGUUAUCUGUGUCCGGCGGCGGCAUCGUCCAGGUUGGUUGGUUGCGUCGAAUGACAGCGCAUUUCUCUCACCCGCCCACAUGAUCACGGCUUGCUUCACCAACGUCCCCUCGUCAAAAUCAAAACAGAAAAACAGACAUCUACGGCCGGCCGGUUUCGGAAUCUGAACAGAAGACGGAGACCGAGUCCGUGAAGGAGACGUCCCCGAGCCCGAGGAGAGAUUACAGAUUAAAUUCUUGGGCGGCCCUCUUCCUCUUCCUCGCCACCGUACCGUGAGAUAUCAUACAGUAGUACAGGGGAGGGAGGGAGGGAGAUCACGUACGUUCCACCGUGAGGACAAGCGCAGAUAGAUAGAAAGAUGUCCAACUUUUCCGUUGAGGAGGAGAUGCAUACUACUACCCAACAACAAAUCAACAAGGCCGUCGACUCGGCUUACCUUGUUGAUAAUCCUGGCAAGGCCCUCGGCUUUCUCAUACACGAGACGCAACGGUUGCGCCGUCGGAUUCAGUCCCGGCUGGCAUCGCUUCGGAGCAAUAAUUCUGAUGAUGAAAAGAUCCACCGCGUGCCCUCGGGCAAGCUCCAAAAGAUGCGUCUCAUGUCCACCGCAUUGCUCACCAUCUCACAGCUUAUAAACACCCACAUAUCUCCUCCUCGUAACGACAAGGAGGACGAAAUUCCUUGGCAUCUUCGUUUUCACGAUUCCGGCUGGGAGUCCACGUGGGGAAGCCGACCGCCAGCUCAUGGCACAUUUUAUGACACAAGUAAGAUAAGAAUGCUUUUUUCUUCUAAUUAUGAUGACUCGGUUUCCCAAUAAUAAUUCCUUUUCUUGUGUAUGCAUGCAAAGAUUCCCUCCCAUCCAUCCAUAUUACUUGGUGCUGGUUUAGUACAACUCAUAUUACUUGUCGUUGGACUAGUUUCAUUGAUUUCUACGUCCAGAUUCACUUAUUUUAAUUUGGUGUUGCAGCUACAUGGAGUCCUAUGCAGUUUACGCACGCGCCUGCUAAAUUUCCAUACUCUUCUACGGUCGGCCGCGCCUUGCAGAUCUACUCAAUCAAAAUCGUCAACCUCAACCCCAAUCUCGACUGGCCUCUCCAUGUCUAGGGCGUGGUUGCCGCACGAGACUGCUUUGACCACAACCGCAACGUUCUCUUCCACCGGUCCGAGGCUAAUUGCCAACGAGUCACCCAAGAUGUAUGUACAGUGCCAAUCUUCUUAUCUAAUUUUUGAUUAGUCUGUUCCUAAUAAGUAUAGUAGAAUAAUGAUGAUGCUGCUUGCAGGACCCUUUUCUGCACUUGAUUGGCCCGUCACGUGCAAUUGUGGCCCAAGAUCGUGUUAUGUUUGAAGUCCAACUAAAAAUGAAGUACGGAGCAGAGUCUAAAGAUACAGCAUUGUUCACUUCCAGCUAUAGUUACGCCUUUGACAGGCGGUGUUCCACCAUUCUGAUCUACAGCCGUUGUUGUAUGGCAGAGUUAAGCCUCGAGGGGCUUACUCAAGCAAUCCAGGCCACCAUUGUUGGUGUUCGCGUCGUCAAAGGAAAGUGGCCUUGUAAGUAUGGAUGCCGAGUUUCUUGCUCCUUGUCCCCUAUUGAAGAGGCUAUUGAUUCCACGCCGAUGGAAGUUGUGCUGCUUGAAUCUCGCGGCAAAGAAAUGCCUGCACGUUCAGAUGGUUACAUUCAUUUAUCAAGGAAUGUGGUUUCGGUGGAUAUACAUACUACAUUGAAAGUUUGCAUACAAGCUUACUCGAAUGCUGGUUCCACUCCUCUACAGGGUCAUGUGAACUUUCCUGUACAGGAAUGCCAAGUAAGCAAGCGGAAAUGCUUACUUGGCAACUCUAGGGUGGUGGAGAUCAUUGUUGCUUGGUCCCUCCUUCCCAUGGACGAGCUUGGCUAGUACCGGAGGGAUAUUGUACCCUGAUCGAUGUAGAGUGUUGUUGCAGAAUUUCCGUAUCAAAUCUAGCUUAUGUUAUCCAGUUAAUAGUGCACCAACUAUGACAUGUUGAAGUAUCCGUGUAUCUACCAUCUAUCUAAGUGUUUUGAGUACCUGCAGCUUAUGUUAUCCAACUAUUUACUGCCUUCUUUUUUUAAAACAAACUGUACUGACUUAUGUGGGGUGAAAUAUUCUGGUUUGAUUUAUAACUAGCAAAGUGGCCCGCACAAGUGCGCGGGCUAGCUUAUGAGAUAUUCUGUUUUCAUUAAGGUGUAGUUGUGUAGUUAUUUUUUAAUUAACCCGCAAAGGAGUCUUGUAUCACUAUGCCUAAAAACAUGUACUCUCUAAAAUUCUGAGGAGUAUCUAGCCGAGCAUCCUUUAGUGGAGCAGAUUUGCUUUCUAAGAAAUGGUCGUUUCUAACCAAUCUUCUAAAAUUUUGUUUUUUCAAAAAAAAAUCAUCCAAUUCUAGUUUACAUAGCACAUUAUAACGUACAUAUUUGCACACAUAUGAAAUCCAAACAUAUUAAGGUUCACACUCUUUACAAAUUCAUAGUUUCCAAACGAAAUUAUUACAAAUUCAAACAGACCGAAGCAUUCAAAUGAAGUAAAUAGCAUGAUAAAAGUACAACUACGAAGUGCUAUGGAGAUGCCAAUGAUGCUCAACAAGAACAUCUUGGAACUGGUAAAGAACUUCUUGGUUCUUGAUCCCGCGAUGCUCUUUGAGGAAUCUCUGUAUCAUAUUUGCAUCGUGCUCUGGCUCAACGGAAUCCCCAUUGGUGAUGUACCGAUAGUUUUCAAGCAUGCAUCCCUCAUCUUCAAUGAUCUUGUUAUGCAAGAUGAUGUAACAUGUCAUAAUUUACCAUAAAACAUUGGGGUUCCAAUACUCGGCAGGGCCACGGACGAUGGCAAAAUGCUUUUGAAGUAUAUUAAUAGCUCUCUCCACAUCCUUCCAAGUUGAAUCUUGCCGUGUUGCCAAGAGAGACCUUUUGUUACCUUUUGGAUGCGGAAUUGUUUUGACAAAUGUGGCCCAUGAAGGAUAGAUGCCAUCCGGAAGGUAGUUACCCAUCGUGUACUCAUGACCAUUGACCAUAUAGUUGCAAGGAGGAGCCUCUCCAUCAACAAGCCUAGCAAACAGUUGUGAUCUCGACAACACAUUCAGGUCAUUGUGAGAGCCAAUAAUCAGAUGAAUGAAUGCCAAAUCAAUAGAUCCUCUGAUGCAAUAGCAUCAAGAAUGAGUGUUGGUUUGUUGUAGUGGACUUUAUACUGACAUUUCCACCUUGCAGAGCAUAGUGAGGUCUAAUGGCCGGCUAGAUACGUUGAGCCGCUACUAGCGAUCGACGAGGCAUGGAGAUGACCAGCAAAGUAUAGUGAGGAGUCGUGAAGCUCCGAGGAAAAAGAUCCGAGCCGCUUUUCAGCGACAGGGUGGAUGUGGCGGUGCGGAUUUUCAGCUCGACUCCAGCGACGAUAAGGGCGUCGGCCAGCAACUGGCUCAUACUAGGCAGAAGGGCGGCGAGGGCGAAGGGAAGCAGCUGUGUAGGGCGGGUAGUCGUUAGCACUAGCGCUGGCGACAACGUAGCAGGGGGUGGGGCAUGAAAAAGAGUCCCCAACUUUUACUCGGUCGGGAGGAAGCCGAGUAUAUUUAGGAGUUCACGUUGCCAAGGAGUAUAUGAUCCCCCAAAAAACUUGAAGUCAAAUGCACGUACAUUCUAUGUGUAUUGAUAUCUGAUUCUUGACUUCUAGCUUCAUUCUCGGAAAUUGGCAAUGGCUCCUAGGUGCAUAUGCAUCCAUUGUCUAAAUACAUAUUUCGAAAAAUUCUGAACAAAAAUCCCACGUGUAUAUCCGGACAUUCUAAGUGCGUGCACAUAGUUUUCGGUGAAAAACGAGGUUUUUUGUGGCUUCUGUAAAAAAGACAAUUUUUAAUGCUUCAUUAUAACUAUUCAUUUUGCAUUUCUUUAUCUUUUUUACAAAAGCCACAAAAAAUGUCGUUUUUCACCGAAACUUUGUGCAUGCACACAGAAUGUCCAGAUAUACCCGCAGAAUUUUUGUUCCGAAUUUUUUAACUUUUCAAAAUGUGUAUUUAGACAAUGGGUGCAUAUGCACCUAGGAGCCAAAACACCGCGUCCAUUCUCGUGAAUUUUGGUGAAACAUAUUUUAGAGUGUAGAUUCACUCAUUUUGCUCGGGAUGUAGUCCUCUUGGAAUCUCUAAAAAGACUUAUAUUUAGGACCGGAGGGAGUACAGCUUCAGCAAAUUAACAAGUCUAAUAACUAUUGUACUGAAGCAAAUUCUAAAAUUAACAAGUCUAGUAACUACUCUACUGAAUCAAAUUUACCCUAGCGCCCCAUAAUAUUACGGAUUUGCUGCUAAUUAGCUAAAGAACAGUGCCAAAUUAGUGCUGAUUACCCACCACUAUCUACCCCUAACCCUAGUGGAUGGGGACAACGGACGGGGCAGGACGCUUACCCUGGGCGGCAACUCUUGAUGAAGCGAUGGCGAAAGCGGUGGUGGGUGGAGGAAGCGACGGCAUGGACGGUAGACAACGUGUACUGCGGCAGCUCCGGUGGCCGAGGAUGCCUUCGGCCGGGGAAUCAUUCGUGCGGGGAGUUGGCAAGAGAGAGUGAGGCGAGGAAGAAACUGGGAAAUUGAAUAAGGUGAGGACUAAAUUUGGCAUGGUGUCUUCAUUGCACCCUUGUAGGGUGUGGUAAAAAAAUUGAAAGUGUUACGGUAAAAAUUUGAUGUACCUCAUGUGCAAACCGGACACUCUCAAACGAAGUGUCAGGGUUUGGAACAUAAACCACCGCCUUCCACGUGCUACUCCAAUUAUUUAAAUCAUUUGGAAUUUAAAUAUUUUUCAUUAGUAAUAGACACCAUACAAAACCCCAUGAUCAAAUUUGGGACUACUCUAGGUUUAAUAAAUGUGUGACUGCCCGCCACUUCUAACUUUUGCAAAUUUUGUACUUUUUGGCACGGGUUACUGAAGGAAAUAUGCCCUAGUGGCAAUAAUAAAGUUGUUAUUUUUAUUUCCUUAUAUCAUGAUACAUGUUUAUUAUUCAUGCUAGAAUUGUAUUAACCGGAAACUUAGUACAUGUGUGAAUACAUAGACAAACAGAGUGUCGCUAGUAUGCCUCUACUUGACUAGCUCGUUGAAUCAAUGAUGGUUAUGUUUAGUAACCAUAGACAUGAGUUGUCAUUUGAUUAACGGGAUCACAUCAUUAGAGAAUGAUGUGAUUGACUUGACCCAUUCAUUAGCUUAGCACGAUGAUCAUUUAGUUUGUUGCUAUUGCUUUCUUCAUGACUUAUACAUGUUCCUAUGACUAUGAGAUUAUGCAACUCCCGGAUACCGCAGGAACACUUUGUGUGCUACCAAACGUCACAACGUAACUGGGUGAUUAUAAAGGUGCUCUACAGGUGUCUCUGAUGGUACUUGUUGAGUUAGCAUAGAUCAAGAUUAGGAUUUGUCACUCCGAUUGUCGGAGAGGUAUCUCUGGGCCCUCUCGGUAAUGCACAUCACUAUAAGCCUUGCAAGCAAUGUGAUUAAUGAGUUAGUUGCGGGAUGAUACAUUAAGGAACGAGUAAAGAGACUUGCCUGUAACGAGAUUGAACUAGGUAUUGAGAUACCGACGAUCGAAUCUCGGGCAAGUAACAUACCGAUGACAAAGGGAACAACGUAUGUUGUUAUGUGGUUUGACAGAUAAAGAUCUUCGUAGAAUAUGUAGGAACCAAUAUGAGCAUCCAGGUUCCGCUAUUGGUUAUUGACCGGAGAUGAGUAUCUGUCAUGUCUACAUAGUUCUCGAACCCGUAGGGUCCGCACGCUUAACGUUCGGUGACGGUCGGUAUUAUGAGUUUAUGUGUUUUGAUGUAUCGAAGGUUGUUCGGAGUCCUGGAUGAGAUCAGGGACAUGACAAGGAGUCUCGAAAUGUUUGACAUGUAAAGAUCGAUAUAUUGGAAGGCUAUAUUCGGACAUCGGAAAGGUUCUGAGUGGUUCGGGUAUUUAUCGGAGUACCGGAGAGUUACGGGAAUUCGCCGGGGAGUAUAUGGGCCUUAUUGGGCUUUAGGGGAGAGAGAGGGGGGGCUGCCUAGGGAAGGCCGCGCGUCCCCCAAGGCCUAGUCCGAAUUGGACUAGGGGGAGGGGCGGCGCCCUCUCCUUCCUUCUCUUCUCUCUUCCCCUUCCUUCUCUCCUACUCCUACUAUUUGGAAAAGGGGGAAUCCUACUCCCGGUGGGAGUAGGACUCCCCAGGGCGCGCCAUAGUAGAUGGCCGGCCCUCCCCCUCCUCCACUCCUUUAUAUACGGGGGAGAGGGCACCCCAUAGACACACAAGUUGAUCAUUGAUCUCUUAGCCGUGUGUGGUACCCCCUCCACCAUAAUCCACCUUGGUCAUAUCGUCGUAGUGCCCUACGACGGUAGCUUCAUCAUCACCGUCGCCACGUCGUCGUGCUGACAAAACUCUCCCUCAAACUCUACUGGAUCAUGAGUUCGUGAGACGUCACCGAGUUGAACGUGUGCAGAUCGCGGAGGUGCCGCAUGUUCGGUACUAGGAUCGGUCGAUCGUGAAGACGUACGACUACAUCAACCGCAUUGUCAUAACGCUUCCGCUUUCGGUCUACGAGGGUACGUGACAACACUCUCCCCUAUUGUUGCUAUGCAUCACCAUGAUCUUGCGUGUGCGUAGAAUUUUUUUCGAAAUUACUAACCUCCCCAACAGUGGCAUCCGAGCCAGGUUUAUGCGUAGCUGUUAUAUGCACGAGCAGAACACAAAGGAGUUGUGGGCAUGGGUAUAUACAUAUUGCCUGCCGUCACUAGUUGAUUCUUGAUUCGGCGGUAUUGUUGGAUGAAGCGGCCUAGACCGAUAUUACGCGUACACUUACGCGAGACUGGUUCUACCAAUGUGCUUCACACACAGGUGGCUGGUGGGUGUCAGUUUCUCCAACUUUAGUUGAAUCGGAUUCAAUGAACAGGGUUCUUUCUGAAGAUCAAAAAGCAAUCACUAUACCGCGUUGUGGUUUUUGAUGCGUAGGUAAGAACGGUUCUUGCUCAGCCCGUAGCAGCCACGUAAAACUUGUAACAACAAAGUUGAGGACGUCUAACUUGUUUUUGCAGGGCAUGUUGUGAUGUGAUAUGGUCAAGACAUGAUGCUAUAUUUUAUUAUAUGUGAUGAUCAUGUUUUGUAACACAGUUAUCGGCAACUGGCAGGAGUCAUAUGGUUGUCGCUUUAUUGUAUGAAAUGCAAUCGCCAUGUAAUUGCUUUACUUUAUCACUAAGUGGUAGCGAUAGUCAUGGAGGCAAUAGUUGGCAUGACGACAACGAUACUUCGAUGGAGAUCAAGGUGUCAAGCCGGUGAUGAUGGUGAUCAUGACGGUGCUUUGGAGAUGGAGAUCAAAGGCACAAGAUGAUGAUGGCCAUAUCAUAUCACUUAUAUUGAUUGCAUGUGAUAUUUAUCAUUUAUGCAUCUUAUUUUUCUUAGUUCGACGGUAGCAUUAUAAGAUGACCUCUCACUAAAUUUCAAGGUACAAGUGUUCUCCCUGAGUAUGCACCGUUGCGAAAGUUCGUCGUGCCGAGACACCACGUGAUGAUCGGGUGUGAUAAGCUCUGCGUUCACAUACAACGGGUGAAAGCCAGUUUUGUACAUGCAGAAUACUCAGGUUAAACUUGACGAGCCUAGCAUAUGCAGAUAUGGCCUCGGAACACUGGAGACCGAAAGGUCGAGCGUGAAUCAUAUAGUAGAUAUGAUCAACAUAGUGAUGUUCACCAUUGAAAACUACUCCAUCUCACAUGAUGAUCGGACAUGGUUUAGUUGAUAUGGAUCACGUGAUCACUUAGACGAUUAGAGGGAUGUCUAUCUAAGUGGGAGUUCUUAAGUAAUAUGAUUAAUUGAACUUUAAAUUUAUCAUGAACUUAGUCCUGGUAGUAUUAGCAUAUCUAUGUUGUAGAUUAAUAGCUCGCGUUUAGCUCCCUUGUUUUAUUUUUGAUAUGUUCCUAGAGAAAACUAAGUUGGAAGAUGAUAGUAGCAAUGAUGCGGACUAGGUCCGUGAUCUGAGGAUUAUCCUCUUGAUUCACCACUAGGUGACAGACCUAUUGCAGGAGCAGAUGCAGACGUUAUGAAUGUUUGACAAGCUCGGUAUGAUGACUACUUGAUAGUUUAUUGCACCAUGCUUUAUGGCUUAGAACCGGUACUUCAAAAAUGUUUUGAACGCUACAGAGCAUAUAAGAUGUUCCAAGAGUUGAAAUUGGUAUUUCAUACUCAUGCCCGUGUCGAGAGGUAUGAGACCUCUGACAGUACUUUGCCUACAAGAUGGAGGAGAAUAGCUCAACUAGUGAGCAUGUGCUCAGAUUGUCUGGGUACUACAAUUGCUUGAAUCAAGUGGGAGUUAAUUUUUCAGAUAAGAUAGUAAUUAACAAAGUUCUCUAGUCACUAUCAUCAAGUUACUAGAACUUCAUGAUGAACUAUAAUAUGCAAGGGAUGACGAAAACAAUUCCCAAAGCUCUUUGCGAUGCUAAAACCGGUGAAGGUAGAAAUCAAGAAAAACACCAAGUGUUGAUGGUUGACAAGACCACCAGUUUCAAGUAAAAGGGCAAGGGAGAGAAAGGGAACUUCAAGAAGAAUGGCAAGCAAGUUGCCACUCCCAUGAAGAAGCCUAAAGCUAGACCCAAGCCUGAAACUGAGUGCUUCUACUGCACAGGAAAUGGUCACUGGAAGCGGAACUUCCCUAGAUACUUGGCGGAUAAGUAGGAUGGCAAAGUGAACAAAAGUAUAUUUGAUAUACAUGUUAUUGAUGUGUACUUUUCUAGUGUUUAUAGCAACCCCUCGGUAUUUGAUACUGGUUCAGUUGCUAAAAGUAGUAACUCAAAACGGGAGUUGCAAAAUAAACAGAGACUAGUUAAGGGCGAGGUGAUGAUGUGUGUUGGAAGUGAUUCCAAGGUUGAUAAGAUCACCAUCGCACACUCCCUUUACCUUCGGUAUUUGUGUUGAACCUAAAAUAAAUGUUAUUUGGUGUUUGCGUUGAGCAUGAAUAUGAUUUGAUCAUGUUUAUUGCAAUACGGUUAUUCAUUUAUGUCAAAGAAUAAUUUUUGUUCUAUUUACUAAAACCUUCUAUGAUCAUACACUCAAUAUAAAUGGUUUAUUGAAUCUCGAUCGUAGUGAUACACAUAUUCAUAAUAUUGAAGCCAAAAAAUGCAAAGUUAAUAAUGAUAGUGCAACUUAUUUGUGGCACUGCUGUUUAGGUCAUAUUGGUGUAAAGCGCAUGAAGAAACUCCAUGCUGAUGGGUUGUUGGAACCACUGGAUUAUGAAUCACUUGAUGCUUGCGAACCAUGCCUCAUAGGCAAGAUGGCUAAGAAUCCGUUCUCCAGAACAAUGGAGCGAGCAACUGACUUAUUGGAAAUAAUACAUACUGAUGUAUGCGGUCUGAUGAGUGUUGAAGCUCGCGGCGGGUUUUAUUAUUUUCUGACCUUCACAUAUGAUUUGAGCAAAUAUGGGUAUAUCUACUUGAUGAAACAUAAGUCUGAAAUAUUUGAAAAGUUCAAAGAAUUUCAGAGUGAAGUGGAAAAUCAUCAUAACAAGAAAAUAAAGUUCAUAUGAUCUGAUCGCGGAGACGAAUAUUUGAGUUACGAGUUUGGUCUUGAACUAAAACAAUGUGGAAUAGUUUCACAAAUUCAUGCCACCUAGAACACCACAGCAUAAUGGUGUGUCCGAACGUCAUAACCAUACUUUAUUGGAUAUAGAGCAAUCUAUGAUGUCUCUUACCGAUUUGCACUAUCGUUUUGAGGUUAUGCAUUAGAAACAGAUACAUUCACAUUAAAUAGGGCACCGUCUAAUCCGUUGAGACAACACCGUAUGAACUAUGGUUUGGCUAGAAACCUAAGCUGUCGUUUCUUAAAGUUUGGGAUUGUGAUGCUUAUGUGAAAAAGUUUCAGCCUGAUAAGCAGAAACCUAAAUCGGAAAAGUGCGUCUACAUAGGAUACCCAAAAGAAAUUGUUGGGUACACCUUCUAUCACAUAUCCGAAUGGCAAUAUCUUUGUUGCUAAAAAUGGAUCAUUUCUAGAGAAGGAGUUUCUCUCGAAAUAAGUGAGUGGGAGGAAAGUAGAACUUGAUAAGGUAAUUGUACCUUCUCCCGAAUUGGAAAGUAGUUCAUCACAGAAAUCAGUUCCAGUGAUUCCUACACCAAUUAGUAAGGAAGCUAAUAAUGAUGAUCAUGAAACUUUAGAUUAAGUUACUACCGAACCUCAUAGGUCAACCAGAGUACGGUCCGCACCAGAGUGGUACGGUAAUCCUGUUCUGAAAGUCAUGUUACUAGACCAUGACGAACCUACAAACUAUGAGGAAGCGAUGAUGAACCCAGAUUCUGCAAAAUGGCUUGAGGCGAUGAAAUCUGAGAUGGGAUCCAUGUAUGAGAACAAAGUAUGGACUUUGAUUGACUUGCCCGAUGAUCGGUGAGUCAUUGAGAAUAAAUGGAUCUUCAAGAGGAAGACGGACACUGAUAGUAGUGUUACUAUCUACAAAGCUCUAAUUGUCGCAAAAUAUUUUCGACAAGUUCAAGGUGUUGACUACGAUGAGAUUUUCUCACUCAUAUCGAUGCUUAAAAGUCUGUCCGAAUCAUGUUAGCAGUUGCUGCAUUUUAUGAAAUCUGGCAAAUGGAUGUCAAAACUGCAUUCCUUAAUGGAUUUCUUAAAGAAGAGUUGUAUAUGAUGCAACCAGAAGGUUUUGUCGAUCCUAAAGAUGCUAAUAAAGUGAGCAAGCUCCAGCGAUCCAUCUAUGGACUGGUGCAAGCAUCUCGGAGUUGGAAUAUAUGCUUUGAUAAAGUGAUCAAAGCAUAUGGUUUUAUACAGACUUGCGGUGAGGCCUGUAUUUACAAGAAAGUGAGUGGAAGUACUACAACAUUUCUGGUAAAUAUAUGUGAAUGACAUAUUGUUGAUCAAAAAUAAUGUAGAAUUUUCUGGAAAGCAUAAAGGAGUGUUUGAAAGGAGUUUUUUCAAAGAAAGAGCUCGGUGAGGCUACUUCCAUAUUGAGCAUCAAGAUCUAUAGAGAUAGAUCAAAACUCUUGAUAUAUUUUCAAUAAGUACAUACAUUGACAAGAUUUUGAAGUAGUUCAAAAUGAAACAGUCAAAGAAGGAGUUCUUGCCUGUGUUGCAAGGUGUAAAGUUGAGUAAAGACUCAAAACCCGACCACGGCAGAAAAUAGAAAGAGAAUGAAAAGUCAUUCCCUAUGCCUCAGUUGUAGGUUCUAUAAAGUAUGUCAUGCUGUGUACCGGACCUAUUGUGUACCUCACCAUAAGUUUGGCAAGAGGGUACAAUAGUGAUCCAGGAGUGGAUCACUGGACAGCAGUCAAAAAUAUCCUUAGUGGAAUAAGGAAAUGUUUCUCGCUUAUGGAGGUGACAAAGAGUUCAUCGUCAAGAGUUACGUCGAUGCAAGCUUUGACACCGAUCUGGAUGACUCUAAGUCUCGAUCUAGAUACAUAUUGAAAGUAGGAGCAAUUAGCUAGAGUAGCUCCGUGCAAAGCAUUGUAGACAUAUAAAAAUUUGCAAAAUACAUACGUCUCUGAAUGUGGCAGACCCGUUGACUAAAUUUCUCUCACAAGCAAAACAUGAUCACUCUUUGGGUGUUAAUCACAUAGUGAUGUGAACUAUAUUAUUUACUCUAGUAAACCCUUUGGGUAUUAGUCACAUAGAGAUGUGAACUAAUCACAUAAAGAUUUGAACUAUUGGUGAUAAAUCACAUGACGAUGUGAACUAGAUUAUUGACUCUAGUGCAAGUGGGAGACUGAAGGAAAUAUGCCCUAGAGGCAAUAAUAAAGUUAUUAUUUAUAUUUCCUUAUAUCAUGAUAAAUGUUUAUUAUUCAUGCUAGAAUUGUAUUAACCGGAAACUUAGUACAUGUGUGAAUACAUAGACAAACAGAGUGUCACUAGUAUGCCUCUACUUGACUAGCUCAUUGAAUCAAUGAUGGUUAUGUUUCCUAACCAUAGACAUGAGUUUUCAUUUGAUUAACGGGAUCACGUCAUUAGAGAAUGAUGUGAUUGACUUGACCCAUCCGUUAGCUUAGCAUGAUAAUCGUUUAGUUUGUUGCUAUUGCUUUCUUCAUGACUUAUACAUGUUCCUAUGACUAUGAGAUUAUGGAACUCCCUGAUACUGAAGGAACACUUUGUGUGCUACCAAAUGUCACAACGUAACUGGGUGAUUAUAAAUGUGCUCUACAGGUGUCUCCGAUGGUACUUGUUGAGUUGGCAUAGAUCGAGAUUAGGAUUUGUCACUCCGAUUGUCGGAGAGGUAUCUCUGGGCCCUCUCGGUAAUGCACAUCACUAUAAGCCUUGCAAGCAAUGUGAUUAAUGAGUUAGUUGCGGGAUGAUGCAUUACGGAACGAGUAAAGAGACUUGCCGGUAACGAGAUUGAACUAGGUAUUGAGAUACCGACGAUCGAAUCGCGGGCAAGUAACAUACCGAUGACAAAGGGAACAACGUAUGUUGUUAUGCGGUUUGACCGAUAAAGAUCUACGUAGAAUAUGUAGGAACCAAUAUUAGCAUCUAGGUUCCGCUAUUGGUUAUUGACCGGAGAUGAGUAUCGGUCAUGUCUACAUAGUUCUCGAACCCGUAGGGUCCGCACGCUUAACGUUCAGUGACGGUCGGUAUUAUGAGUUUAUGUGUUUUGAUGUACCGAAGGUUGUUCGGAGUCCCGGAUGAGAUCAGGGACAUGACGAGGAGUCUCGAAAUGUUCGACACGUAAAGAUCGAUAUAUUGAAGGGCUAUAUUCGGACAUCGGAAAGGUUUUGAGUGGAUCGAGUAUUUAUCGGAGUACCGAAGAGUUACGGGAAUUCGUCGGGGAGUAUAUGGGCCUUAUUCGGCUUUAGGGGGACAGAGAGAGGGGCUGCCUAGGGCAGCCCCCCCCCCCCCAAGGCCUAGUCCGAAUUGGACUAGGGGGAGGGGCGGCGCCCCCUCCUUCCUUCUCUUCUCUCUUCCCCUUCCUUCUCUCCUACUCCUACUAUUUGGAAAAGGGGGAAUCCUACUCCCGGUGGGAGUAGGACUCCCCAGGGCGCGCCAUAGUAGAUGGCCGGCCCUCCCCCUCCUCCACUCCUUUAUAUACGGGGGAGGGGGCACCCCAUAGACACACAAGUUGAUCAUUGAUCUCUUAGCCAUGUGCGGUACCCCCUCCACCAUUAUCCACCUUGGUCAUAUCGUCGUAGUGCCCUACGCCGGUAGGUUCAUCACCACCGUCGCCACGUCGUCGUGCUGACAAGACUCUCCCUCAAAGCUCUACUGGAUCAUGAGUUCGUGAGACGUCACCAAGUUGAACGUGUGUAGAUCGCGGAGGUGCCGCAUGUUCGGUACUAGGAUCGGUCGAUCGUGAAGACGUACGACUACAUCAAGCGCAUUGUCAUAACGCUUCCGCUUUCGGUCUACGAGGGUACGUGACAACACUCUUCCCUCUUGUUGCUAUGCAUCACCAUGAUUUUGCGUGCGCGUAGAAUUUUUUUCGAAAUUACUACGUUCCCCAACAGUGGCAUCCGAGCCAGGUUUAUGCGUAGAUGUUAUAUGCACGAGCAGAACACAAAGGAGUUGUGGGCGUGGGUAUAUACAUAUUGCCUGCCGUCACUAGUUGAUUCUUGAUUCGACGGUAUUGUUGGAUGAAGCGGCCUAGACCAAUAUUACGCGUACACUUACGCGAGACUGGUUCUACCAAUGUGCUUCACACACAGGUGGCUGGUGGGUGUCAGUUUCUCCAACUUUAGUUGAAUCGGAUUCAAUGAACAGGGUUCUUUCUGAAGAUCAAAAAGCAAUCACUAUACCGCGUUGUGGUUUUUGAUGCGUAGGUAAGAACGGUUCUUGCUUAGCCCGUAGCAGUCACGUAAAACUUGUAACAACAAAGUUGAGGACGUCUAACUUGUUUUUGCAGGGCAUGUUGUGAUGUGAUAUGGUCAAGACAUGACACUACUAGGAAAAGGCCUACUAAUGGCGCACUUAAUUUGGCCAUUAAUGGCGCAUUAGCGGUGCGCCAUUAGUACCACGCCAUUAGUAUAUUUUACUAAUGGCGCACCACUGAUGCGCCAUUAGUGUAUGCAGAAGUGCGCCAUUAGUAUGCCUCCCAGGGGCCAUGUAUACCCAGGUGCUCUGGCAUACUAAUGGCGCACGGCAGCAAGAUGCGCCAUUAGUAACCUCGGCAUACUAAUGGCGCACUCUUCAGUGAUGCGCACUGUCAUGUGAUGCGCCAUUAGUAUGAAUAUUAUGUUUUUUUAUUUUUUAUUUUCUGUUUUUUGCACAGGUUACAAAAUGUAUAAUUUGACAAAAUAUAGACAGCACACAUCAACAACAGAUUCAUCGAAUACAAUAGAAGAUUAGUCUUUGAAUACAAUUCAUCAUUUUAGUCUCCGAAUACAAUUCAUCAUAUUAGUCUCCGAAUUGAAAAGAUCGAACAAAGAUAGAACAUUAUAUUACAAGUCUCGAGACCGCGAGUAGCGAGUUUGUCUUCACAUUACAAGUCGAUAUCGAUCAUCUAAACUACCAUCACAUAAAAGAGAGUUGCGGUCAUCACGAUGAGCAUCAUCACGAUGAAACUCGUCUUCAUCCGGUUCCUCCAAUGCUCCCUCCCCUCUCCCGCUAGAUAGCGGGCGUAUCUAGAUUCGGCCUCGGCCCUAGUGGUGUAACCUUUGUAACUGUUACCGCUGAAUCGGUGAACCUGUCUCCGACACUCCUCCCAGUUGUCGUAGACUCCGGGAACCUUACCCUUGUACACGACAUACGUCGGCAUCGCUAUGCACUAGCCAAACGAAACGUUAGUACCAAUUCACAGACAAUACAUAAGCAAUAUAUAAGUAUGCAACAGAACGAUCGGAAGAGAAAAGCAAGACAUUAAUAGCAUCGAUUACAUCUAAGUUGAACGACUCUCGAAACCAAAGAGGCAUACUACAAGUUCAUUAAAGUUUAAUUACAACAUGAGCCAAUCGAUGUUUCAGAACUAGACACAGCAUCACUGCUUUCGACUCGACUCAAGGGACCGAAGCGAGGAUGAAGCCGCCGUCUAUCGUGGGAGUCAUGAAAGAACGGGCGUUGUCAGCCUGCAUUUGUAGCAUUGUGUCGAUGUCACUGUUGGACGGUUGAUUUCUGAGGUAGAACUGCCCCGAGGUACGAAGGACAUCUUGAUGGAUGAUUUCCGCAAACUCCGACUGGAUGCGAAAGAAUUCUUGUCUAAUGUCCGCAUCCUGGAUUGCCGACACGCUCGCGGCCCAAUCUUUGAGUCUACUCGGUAGCAGAAGUUGAUGAUGGUCCCGUACGAUCGCCCGCAUGUGAUGGAUGGCGUAGUAGGCACCCUUCUGACCGCUAGGCGGCUGCUUGACGCAGCAGAACGUCGUAUUGUGGGAGAACACGUGCUUGCCGUACUUACGAAUAUGCCUGGUGAAGGUGCCUCCAGAUUUGACAUAGCCGGGGAGAACAUCAUCAAGAACAUUCUUGACAUUUGUGUAGUCUACGUUCGACUGACGGUCCGGGUCGAAAUACGUGGCCAUGGAAUAUUUGGGGCUUAGGAGGAUGAGCGUGCAAUGUGUGUCACUGCAGAAAACACGGAAUGUUAAAAGAAAAACGAUCGAAAUCUAAGAAUUCAUAUGUUACGGGGCGGUUGAGGGGAGGACUUACUCGGGAAAGUAAGGCACGAGGAAGUUAUCCUUAUCUUGGAUUGCCAGAAUGACGCCUUCGAGGUAAGAACUCGCGACUUGCCGGUCCCCAGCGCUGCCCAAGAUCUUGGCACGCAUGUAGAAGGGGUCGACUAUCACGAUGUCCGGGGUCUUGUCGCGAAUGAUCCGCAUCUCCAUACUUAGCGAAAAUAGCCGAACAAAGGUGUAGUGCAGCGGAUGAAGGUUCAACAUAGCGUGGAUGUCAUCAAACCGCAGGACGAUCGUACCCCCGAUGGAGUUAUCCACAAAGCCCUUGCCCUCUGGCACCUUGGCCGUGAAAACCGGGUAUGCCACAUCCUUCUCUCUGAGACGCCGCUUCUCCAAAGAAAGAACACUGUCAUGCAGACUCCGCAUAGCACCGGUUGCAGCAUUGAGCAUAUUUGUCGGUAGCACCGCCCUACCCGCCACAUGCACCCUCCUCGAGAUAUCCUCAGGUGAAGGUGGCCCGUCCUGAGCACGGAUCGUACUCGGUGCCGGCUGGCUCGCACCCUUGUUAGUCUUUCUUUUGCGUGCCUUCUUCUUCUCCUAUAAUGGGACCGAGUUCUGCUCACAGACCGCCUUCUUGAGUGUAUUUGGGCUGAUAAUAUUUCGCACCUCGCCUAUCUGAGGCUCGGUGGAGUCGGCAGCUGGAGGCGUCUCCUGAGAGCUGAACGGCAGACGACGCCUGUUGCAACUUGGCUUCUCCGCAGUACCAGCUAGAUCGCGCACGUCUUUUGUUGGGUUGGGUUCUUGAGAAGGAGCCCCCAUGAAGUCGCCAUCGUACCCAUGUUCGGCAAAGUACUGAUCGACGUUGCCAAAUGUAUCGUCGUCGUAGUCGUUCUGAUCCUGUGCCAUAUGCAUGUUUGGAUCCAGUGGCAUAGGGAUGUCCGGCACCGUUGCGGCGGUCUUGCCAUGGGGCCGAGUUGGCGCCGGCACGACUGGCGGUGUUGUCUUUGGGGUGGUGUCCCCCGCCCCCAAAGGAAUCUGGCUCUUCGGCCAAAGCAGGGGCCAGCUCAGGCAGGCGCUGAGGGUCAUCACAUCAUCAUCGUCGGCCCCGACGGGUCGAAUCGGAGGUAACAACUCGUCGCAGCCUGGCAGCACCCGAACCAGUUGAACCCUAAACAAGUUGGGUGGCAUCUGGGUACCGUGGAACAAGGGGUUGCCCGGUUGAACGAUUUUGCCCUUGGCGACAUCGACCAACUCGUUGUUCACGAAGUGUAGGAGAGUGCACGGAACGUCGGCGGCGCCCUGCGAAAACAUGUAGGGCGUCAGGGAUGCCCAGUCAAAGGCAAGGAGAUGAAGUCCUCGGCCGAGAGAGGCUUAAUUAGUUACCGUGAUGAUGGCGUCGAGCUCGGCUAAUGUCGAGGCACCGCCAACGGCGGGCGCGCGCAGUUGACGGAGGGGCCGCUUGCUGCAGAGGUGCCGGCCGGCGUACACCCGGGUGCAUUAAGCUCCCGUGCCAGCGUCGGAGACACCAAUGCCGCCUCCACAGGAGACACCAAUGGCCCCGCCAUCGCAUUCUGCGAGUUGCUGGCCGUGAAGCUAGGAAUCGGUGGCGGCCCCUGUUGGCCGCCCGCAAUCCACGCACUCAACCCCUGGAUCAAGGUAGGCACAAUGGCGGUGAUCGUCGCUCCGAGUCGUUGUUCCACUUGCUCUUGGACAAUCUCCGGAAUCCGCGCCACCUGUGCCUUGAGUUCUUGAACCUCGCGCGCCUGCCUUUCUGAGCUGGUCUUUUUCUCCUUCCGCACACCAGUGGUAUAGUAUGACCCCCAUUUUGUGGACAAGCCUUUGCCGGCCACACGACCAGCUGACGUCGGCUUACUGAGCUUAUCCUUGUUCUUCAUUACAUUCAACGCCCUAUUUAGAGUGGUGUCCCAAGGGUUGCUCGUAGUCGACCCCGCGCUACUGCUUUCAGUCGCCUGCGGAAGGAAUGUGAACCAUUUAGAAAUUUGGCUUCAUUAAUUAGAAUGCAACCAUAUGGAGCUAAUUACGCGGGGGUGUAUUCCUUACCAGAACAAGCUCAAGCGCCCUGGUCUUCGGAUCCGUGGUAAGCUCCUUUGUUAUCGGGUCCUCCUUGUACCGGGCCCUGACAUAGUUCCUAGUCUGCUUGUUACCGCUGUAUUUCUCGAAGCGGGGCGGUAGGCCUUGCUCGGCACGCUCCGUGUCCUCCUUGUCCCAUAUAGGCUCCGCCACUCUGUAACCGCCGGGACCGAGUUUGUGUUCCCCUAAGUUCAGCUCCCGCAUUUCUUUCCCCCACUGACUUGAUUGGGAGUUUGCGGUGCUCGAGCAAUUGAUCUUGAAGUCGUUGUAGUCAUCUUCGGUGAUCGAAGGAUUUUUCUCCUUGAUCUUCUCAUAACUCUCACCUUUCUCGAUCAUUCUCUUCACAUUGCUUUUCCAGGUAGACAGGGCCUUGCUCAUCUUCGUGAGGGCAGCAUUGUUCACUUUAUUCCCUUUGAGGCUUGUGUUUUCAAAAGUAGCGGGGAACUUGUAUCGUUCGUGCAGCUUCGUGAAGAGGAGGUUGCGCAAAUUCCCUCGGUCAGGAUGCCUCAGGUUCUCGGUCUUGAUCGAGACGGUGCUCCGGAGAAUGCACCCGAGCUGAAGCGAGUAUCCCUUGACUAUUCGUUCGGGUGCCGUUGGAUUCCCGUCGGAGUCCACUUCAGUAACUUCCUCCUUGAGGGUGCGGAGCACGGUCGGGCGCCGGUCCUUCCGUUGCCUCUUCUGUUGGCUGCCAUCUGUGCGUGUGCCGCCAUCAUCAGUGGUGGCAUCCUCGGCGGCACCAUCAGUGGUGGCAUCAGUGGGGUCAUCCUCGGCGGUACCAUCACUGGUCUCAGGAUUGGUGGGGAAGGCGGCGUCCUCAUACAAGUGAGGUUGUUCCUCCAUCUCCUGGGACAGCUCCCAGAAUGCCUUGCGGCCCGAACCCCCGGCCUCAUCGUUGUGGGCCAUGUCUCUCUCUAAAUAGAAACAAAGUUUGGUCAAAAAGUUGAUUAUUGUCAAGGAACAAGAUCAUGGUCUCAUCAUUUAGGGUUUGUCGACACCGAGGCAUCCUAAAAUAUAAGCUUUUAUCAUUGAGGGUUUUCGACGCCGAGGCACCCUAAAAGCCUAAGCUUUCAUCAUUUCGGUUUUUAUCGACACCGAGGCACCCUAAAAGCCAUGCAUUAGUCACAAGUACGCCGGGGCACUUGAUCCUACUUAAUUAACUACUAAGAUACCCGGCCCAUGCAUUAGUCACAAGUACCCCAUAUGUCCUAUUUUUAGCAAAGUCAUGUUAAAAUUCACGGAAAAUUUCAGCAUGACCUUUGCUGAAAAUAGGACAUAUGGAGUACCCGAAUUUGCCGGAACGGAAGUUAAUCGACAUUCCGGCAAACUCAAGGGCCUUUCGGGGUACCUGCAAAAUCAUUAUCCCAGGUGGACAUGGAUGCAAUGUCACAUGUCACAUGGAUCCCACACCCACAGGAGCUGGUGAAGCUUCAUGUGUAUUUCACGAAAACCAGCCUGACUAAAGAGCUUUAUGUAGAAAACAAAUCACUCCACCAGCUCACACAGGAUCCAUCAGAGACAUUCACCCAAGAUUUGACGGCUGUCGUUGAUUUUUUUUUCUAUGUUUGCACACAAAGUGGUGCUUCUAUUGUAGUCUCCCCAGUACAGUUCAUGUCCAAUCUACCAUACAUUUGCUGCCAACUUGAUCAUCCCUCUAAGCAAUUACUCAAAAUUGAUCAAAGUUUAUGCAUUAGAGAAUAUCAGUCAUUGAUGUAUGGGUCCACAUAUGUUAUGAAACAAACACUAAAACAAAUUGCAUGCGUGAUGCUGCUGAUGAUGACCAAGCCCAAUUAUCCAAGUGCUUUGUCCAACUAUAAGCACAGUGGAGUGCAGCAAAAUAAGAACAGUUUGCUUUGUGCUCACCACGCAGGGGAGGAGGCGACGAGGUCCGGGUGGUGGUGGUGCUCCGGCGACACCUACAUUGUACCCAUGGGCAUUCAGCAAUUUUGCAUAAGAGAGCAUGUCUUAGGCUCAACCACUUGUUCAGGUUUAUGAAAAAAUUUAUGCUACUGGUAGAUAGACGAUCUGGUGCUGAAAACAAAAUGAAAUGAAUAUAUCGGAGCUAAAGACCAGUAGAUUUUGGCAAACAUCCGCUGACAGGAGCCCAAAAUUCAUCUAUUUUCUUUGCAUGGGCCUAGCUACCUUUAUUCACUCAAGCUGGUAGCUGUUAAUAUAGAAGUAAGAUGGAGCCAUCCACUACUGUUAAACUAAAUAGUGCUAAACUAGAAAGGAUAUUAGAUAAUAAUGGAAAGUAAAGGAGCCCAAAACCUUCAGAGCACACACAACAGGAGAAAGAGUAUUAUAGCACUUGCUUUUCAGUCAUUCCAAUGAGCACGAAUGCUAUCAGCUGUCAUAAGAAAAAAAAUGUUCUACAUGUUGAUUAUGGUUUUGCAUCAAGAAAAUUACAAAUUAUUAUAAGCACAUAUGGUAGGUUUCCGUGGUUCAAAGGUAAUGUACUUGAUCUAAAGAAAGGCACGACUAUGAGAAACUGAAAUCAUUGUCAUGUUGUAGCUUCAGAAUUUGACUCAAGUUGAACCUUCCAGUACUACACGGACAAGAAGACCAUAACAAAAUCCAUAUCAUCGGACCAACUACUCCAGUUUUCAGUCGAAAUCUACGAAGCUGAAAACUUUCACUGCCCUGUUGCUGUCCCUUGUCCCAUUAUCUUACUUUUUUUUCCAGGAAAGCUAGCUAAACGAUUGACCGGUGUGAAGAUUUCCAUGAGAAGCAUUGUCACAUGGCCAUCUUGGUUAAGCCGCAUGAACACAUAGCUACAACAAUCGAUGGAAUCCCUGCAAGCAGGGCAGUUUCGCUGUGCAUAGCUAGCUAGGACCUCUCUCAGGAAAGUUUCAGUUGUUCUCACGCCUAAUGUAGUGAGUGCAGCAAGCAAACUGGGUAUCUAGUUUAGUUGGGGAGGAAGAAAACUGACCACGAUAGACACCUAGAGCAUCAGAGAUGGAGAGAGCAGAGAGAGAGGGGGGAUGAUACCUUGACGAGCUCCCCUGAUGGCGUGGGUAGUAGGGUCGCAGCAACGUCCCGGGAAGAGGCGCUGGUGUCGGGGCGGCGUCGAGGGCGGCGGGGCGACGGUGGUGUCGGGGCGGCGCUGGCGACGGUGGUGUGGAUGGGGCGGCGCUGGUGUCGGGGCGGCGUCGAGGGCGGCGNNNNNNNNNNNNNNNNNNNNNNNNNNNNNNNNNNNNNNNNNNNNNNNNNNNNNNNNNNNNNNNNNNNNNNNNNNNNNNNNNNNNNNNNNNNNNNNNNNNNNNNNNNNNNNNNNNNNNNNNNNNNNNNNNNNNNNNNNNNNNNNNNNNNNNNNNNNNNNNNNNNNNNNNNNNNNNNNNNNNNNNNNNNNNNNNNNNNNNNNNNNNNNNNNNNNNNNNNNNNNNNNNNNNNNNNNNNNNNNNNNNNNNNNNNNNNNNNNNNNNNNNNNNNNNNNNNNNNNNNNNNNNNNNNNNNNNNNNNNNNNNNNNNNNNNNNNNNNNNNNNNNNNNNNNNNNNNNNNNNNNNNNNNNNNNNNNNNNNNNNNNNNNNNNNNNNNNNNNNNNNNNNNNNNNNNNNNNNNNNNNNNNNNNNNNNNNNNNNNNNNNNNNNNNNNNNNNNNNNNNNNNNNNNNNNNNNNNNNNNNNNNNNNNNNNNNNNNNNNNNNNNNNNNNNNNNNNNNNNNNNNNNNNNNNNNNNNNNNNNNNNNNNNNNNNNNNNNNNNNNNNNNNNNNNNNNNNNNNNNNNNNNNNNNNNNNNNNNNNNNNNNNNNNNNNNNNNNNNNNNNNNNNNNNNNNNNNNNNNNNNNNNNNNNNNNNNNNNNNNNNNNNNNNNNNNNNNNNNNNNNNNAGGUGGGAUAGCGAUCGAGAUGGAGGGGGAUCGAGAUCGAGGUGGGAUAGCGAUCGAGAUGGAGUGGGACCGGAUCUGGCGAGGUGGGAUAGUGUCCAUGAAAUUAAAAAAUAUUCAUGAUAGUUCAAAAAGUGCCCAUGAAAUACAAUCGAGAAAUGAAGUCUACGAUUUAAAUACAAUCGAUCUUAGCUAGCUAUCUCUUCACAAUCUUCUUGCCCUUCUUUUUCGCAAAUGGAGUUCUUCUAUGGAACAGACGUCCUUUAGGUAGGGUGGUCCUGCUUCUUCUUGUGGUGUAUGCUGCUACUUCAUCAUCGUCGUCAUGUUCGAUCCUCGGGUCGCCGUACUUGUCGAAGUCUUGCUCAUUGGCUACUCCAUCCAUUCCGAUGAUCUUCCUUUUGCCUCUCCUCACGACAACACGACUGGGCUUUGGCGGGUCGGUAAUGAAGAAGCAUUGGUCCACUUGGGAAGCCAGUACCCAUGGCUCAUUUUUCGCGGUGACGUUUGCGCCCGCGGUCUUGGAUUUGGCUUCGGGUAUAACCAUGGUGGUGAAAUACCGCUCUUCUUUUAUGACGUUCUUGGCCCAUCUGACACGGAACAUCGGGACCUUCUCUCCAGCGUAGCUCAGCUCCCAGAUCUCCUCGAUCCUUCCGUAGUAUCUGUCCUUGUCGUUACCGGUGUAGGAUUCCAUCGUUACCCCGGAGUUCUGAUAACCAUCGCUCUUCAUGUCCUUGGCCUCGGUGUAGAAUGUGUAGUCGUUGAUAUCGUACGCCUCAUAGGUCAUCAGGUUGUGCUCGGCACCCUGUGACAAGGCGAAUAUGAGUUGUUCUUCCGCGGAAGAAUCCUCAUGUAAAGGGUACGACAGAAGCUUCUGCUUGAACCAACACGUGAAACAUGAGUUGUGCUCUUUGAGUAUAUCUCCGUCCGUCCUCUAUUGGCCUCGGUCAUUGUACGUCUUCUUAAUAAAGGUUUUGUGCUGUACCACCCAAGGAUCGACCACGUCUAUGUGUUGUAGCGCGACUAGGUUUGCUCUUUCAAAGUCGGCGAGUCGACCAUCGAAGUCGACAUGCAUUUCGCGGCGACCCUCACGGUAACCCCAUCCAGCGAGCCUGCUGAGGUGCCUGUUGACGGGCAGACCAACGGGGUUCUCGAUGCCUAGAUAAUUCGUGCAGUAGGAGAUGCACUCUUCGGUCAGAAAGCCCCUGGCUAUGCUUCCUUCUGGACGUGACAUGUUGCGAACGUAUCCUUUGAUGACACCAUUCAUCCUUUCGAACGUCAUCAUGCUGUGCAGGAACGUCGGCCCAAGUUGGAUGAUAUCCUCCACUAUAUGGACCAGCAGAUGCACCAUAACGUCGAAGAAUGCGGGCGGGAAGUACAUCUCAAGCUCGCAUAGUAUCACCACGAUCUCUUCCUGUAGCCUUCUGAGUUGCCUCACGCCAAUCGACUUCUGAGAGAUGACGUCGAAGAAGUUGCAUAGGCCAAAUAGCGUUUCACGGACGUGCGUGUCCAUGAUCC
rnacentral:lncRNA from 1 species